UAGUGGUUCCCUUAAUUAGAUACAGAAGAACGACCCGUGAUCGUUCUCUUUGUGGUCUGCAAUGUUCAGUAAGAAGACGAAAUUCGUGAAAUUGUAAGGAGCAAAAGAGGCAUUCAGGAAGAAGGAACGACAAAAUAACUAUAUAGGUUCACAUUUAAUUUAUGUCUUGAUUGCCUGCUCCACGAGUUAGGAACAAUUUUCCAAAUAUGAAAUACAACAGCUGCAGAACUACAUGUUAGAGAAGAUUUUAUAUCACAGUAUGUAAUGUAAUAAUUUGCAAUUUUCACUUGUGUCAUUUUCCUCUUGUCCUUUCUAUAUAUGGCAUACAGUGCUUUUUUGUAUAUAAUAUCGAAAUGACAAGUAAAACCUUAUCACAACCAUCACUGAUGGAAAAUGGUGGUUUAGUUAUUAUAUUUGGAAGGCGGAAGUGACUAUUGGUAAAUGGUGUUAUACCUCUAAAACCGUAGUGCUAGUCUAUAUAUGCACCAUUAUGCGUGUUAAAAUGACAGGCUUUUCAUUAUAAUAGAGACAGACUACGGUACAUACAAAAAGAUUAAUCUCUGCAUCGAUGGCAUUUUUAGGUUAUGAACUAAGGGAAUUAAUCUGUUUUGCGAGAAUUCCCAGCAACGAGCGACAUAAGUCGUGGUUGCUAAAAAUUUGCUUCCCAAAGGAGAAUCUAUAAGUCUCCUAACUAGUAUUUUUGAAUUAAAUACUUCAUUAGUAUCAAAGCUAUAAGGUUUUAGCUAUUUGAAUAACCCUAAAUGGAAAUUGCAAUAUUUCAUGUCUGUAAAUGCAUAUUUCUGUAUGAAACCUUAGGAAUUUUGUAGACCUCAUUGUGAGCUUUUGCAUCGAUAUGUGGGUAAUAUUUUUGGCCCUAUAAUUGGUGAGAUACUGAAUUUUAAAGUUUUAGGGUUUAAUUAUCACAAAUUAAACUUCAAAAAUUCAAUAAUCCUUUUUUCGUGAAAUUUUUGUGCAAAUUAUGUUGGGUUCAGUUACCCGCAUAUUUUUGAGCAAAACUAUAUAAUCAAUUGUGAUUACGAUCGAACAUUUGGGUCAGAUUUUAAAGAAAAUCAUUAGCGUUUGUUCAAAAUAAAAAUAAUCAAUUCUUUAUCAUAUCAAUUUUUGAACGGGUUUAUUUGGAUUUGAUGGUCUAAAACAAUCCUAAAAUACAAGAAAAAUAUUUACUAGUGUUAUAAUUGAAGAGACUUGGCUGAAAAAUACGUUAUUUGGUUGGAAACUCGAACCAACCCUUAAUGAACCCACCCAAUGAUUUUCUUUCAAUUCGCGGUAAGAUUUCGAUGGUUUCUUGAACAAUUUGUGCUAGAAUUCAAUCCUAAAAUAUGUUUAGGCAAAAUAUUAUGCUUUGAUUAGAUCAAAAUGACCAAAAUUGAGAAAAAAUAAAAAACGAGUCGCGCUGGACCCAUUUUGAAGCUAUCUGGAUUGUAAUUAUUGAACAUGUAUUAAUUAUUUUGUAUAACAUUUGGAUAGUUUCGGAAUGUUCGGCAUCGAAUUGAGAAUUUAACGCGACGUGGUGAUCGGAAAGUGGACUUUGAGACAAGGUAAGUCUCUUGUCUAAUCUUGUGAGGGGGAAAUUACCCCAUAGGUGAUUAAAUUAAUAAAUAUUGCUAAUUGUGGGGGCUACGUACGCACAAGGUGACGAGAGUCCGUGCGUAGCUACUAUUUAUGCUAAAGUUCGGGUAGUUUAGGACUUAAAUCAUAAAUUACUUGUGUAAAUUGUAUUCUUUAUUUAAUUAGAUUAUGUUAUAUAUAUUGGGAAUUGUUAGAAAAUAUAAUAAAGAUGGAAAUCUCAUAUACUUAACUUUUUUUUUAAAAUUAAUUAAUUGUUAAAAGAAAUUGUUCAUUCUCUCGAAUUUAUCUUAUAAUAAAUAUACUCUCCUUCCAAAGGUACAUAAGAAAAUGUCCUCCUUUAUUGUGGAGCGGGCCGAACGCCUAGGCAGGAUAGAUGCAUCUAUGGAUCGUGCCGCACGUCACUCGGCAGUGUACACGACACUCUGGAUCGGGCCGUACGACCUCGGCAGAAAUCGUGCCUAAUAAUAAUAAUUGCACGAUACUUGAUAUGUAAUUGCAGCUUGUGAAUUUAAUUAAUAGAUUGAGAAUUGUUGCAUUUCAAGGAAUUUAAUUAAUAUAUUGGUAAUUAUUGCAUUUGAAGGAAUUUAAUUACUUCUUCUGGUUUAAUAAAAUUAUUGUUAGCUCUGUGAAUCAUGUUGAUAAAAAUAUUUCUAUUUUUAUGUUACUUAUUAUUAUUGACCUUUAGUGAGUGUCAAAGUCGAUCAUCUCGUCUCUACCUCUUCGAGAUUAGCCUUGAUACUUACUAGGUACACGUUAUUUUUUGUACUCAUGCUGCACUUGCUGCACAUUUUAUUGUGCAGAUACAUAUAUGUCUAGCGGCCUUCUGGGCACAGAGGUGCGGCUAAAAUUGUGAGGACAUAGGUGAUCUGCAUUCUGUAUUACGAUCCACAGCCAUCAGAGUCUCCUUCAGAGUUAUUUAUAUUUUUCCUGUCUAAUUUGUAUUCUAGACAGAUGUUGUAUUUCUGACCCAUUGAGUGAAGAAGAUGACCAACCUUGGAUGCUAGCAAAGCCCACUCUCGGCAGAAACUUAUGGUGGAGAGUACCCCCCCCCCCCCCCGGCCAUUUUCUAUGAAUUGUUUUUGCUCGUACUUAAUUAUCUGAUUUUCUUAUAAUUUUUUAUACUGAAAUUAUUUUUCUUUUAAUUAAUAUUGUUCUGAAAAUAUUAAUUAUUUUUGGAGGUAUUUUUCAAGAAUAAAAAAUUUGUAAAAAAUAUUAAUUGAUUCAAAAAGCGUUUUUAUGUGACUAAUUCUCCCUAUAAGUAUAUGAAAAUAUAUAUCAUAUUUUUAAAGUAAAAUUAGGCAUAAAUAUUAAUUUUCUCAUUGAUUUGUUCUUGGAAAGAUAUGAAAAUUAAUUUUAAGAUCAAAUAAAAUUAUUCCAUUAAUAUAUAAGUGUAUAUAAAAUGAGAUCUAAAUUUGUUUAUUUGGUGUAUAUUAUGUGCAUAUACCACUUGUUUAAUUGAGAAGCCCCGGCAAAGAGAAAAGUCAGGAUAAUGCGCACUCUGCCUGCCAAGCGGGCGGCAGGAGCAGCGGGCAAUUGCUUGGUAAGAGAACAACCCAGUGAAUAAUGUUAGUUAAAAUAUUUUUAUUUGGUGACUUGGCUUUAGUUGAUAUGUUUAAUUUUCAUUUAACAUAUAUCCAUAUACGAUGAUUGAGAACGUAGUAAACUUUUGAAUCUAGGACUUAUGCUUGUGCUUAUAAGUCUUUUCAAUUUGCUAAAGUUACCUUUAUGUGUAUGCAAAACCAUUAAAUUGCGAGCUUUAAUUCUGAGUGUGAAACUUUAUUUAUAUAAACGCAAGUCAUAAUACACCAUAUGAAAACUACUUAUGACAUCAAAUCACCAAAUUGAAGGCAAAUGCUCAAAACGAUGGUCGGGACAUUACAACUCUGUUCCCAUCGAAAAGAAAAAGAUGUUGCUUUUAUCUUAUUGAAAGAAAUAUUGUGUUCUGCUCUGUUGAUGACUAAUUUUGAUCCUCAUAUUAAAAAUUAAUUUAUUUACACUUAUUAAUUUCCAAUAAAUAUAUUAAAGAUAUUUUCUGAUUAAUAAUACCUAUAAUUAAGUAAUUAAUGGUGUCUAAUUAAUAAUUUAGUAUUAUAAUUAUAAAUAUAUCUGUAACGACCCAGCCGGUCGUUUUGAGAGUAAUAGAGGUUUCGUUUUGGUUUUUGGAGUUUUUUGGGAUACUUAGUCCCUAAAUAGAGGUUUAAGCCUUAGGAUUUGGACCGUAGUCAAAACUGUGUGAAGACGACUCUGUNNNNNNNNNNNNNNNNNNNNNNNNNNNNNNNNNNNNNNNNNNNNNNNNNNNNNNNNNNNNNNNNNNNNNNNNNNNNNNNNNNNNNNNNNNNNNNNNNNNNNNNNNNNNNNNNNNNNNNNNNNNNNNNNNNNNNNNNNNNNNNNNNNNNNNNNNNNNNNNNNNNNNNNNNNNNNNNNNNNNNNNNNNNNNNNNNNNNNNNNNNNNNNNNNNNNNNNNNNNNNNNNNNNNNNNNNNNNNNNNNNNNNNNNNNNNNNNNNNNNNNNNNNNNNNNNNNNNNNNNNNNNNNNNNNNNNNNNNNNNNNNNNNNNNNNNNNNNNNNNNNNNNNNNNNNNNNNNNNNNNNNNNNNNNNNNNNNNNNNNNNNNNNNNNNNNNNNNNAAGUCGAAUUUUUGGAGAUUUUGACCGGUAGUGGACUUUUUGAUAUCGGUGUCGGAUUCCGAUUCCGAAAGAUGGAGUAGGCCCAUAAAGUUGAAUAUGCCUUGUGUGCAAAAUUUUGGGGUCAAUCGGACGUGGUUUGGUUGGUUUCGGUAUCGGUUGUCAAAUUCGGAAGUUUCAAGUACUUUAGGUUUGAAACGGAGGAUGAUUUGUGAUUUUAGCGUUGUUUGAUGUGGUUUGAGGGCUCAACUAAGUUAUUAUGGUAUUUUAGGAUUGGUUGGUAUGUUUGGUCGAGGUCCCGGGGGCCUCGGGUGAGUUUCGGGUGCUUAACGGGUGGAAGCUUGGACUUAGAAGAAUUCUGAAGUUGCUGGUUCUGGUGUUUUCGCACCUGCGGUGAGAAGUCCGCAGGUGCGGCCCCGUAGAAGCGAGGCUGGGAUCACAGGUGCGCCUUUAGGCCAGGGAGUCAGUGGUCGCAGAUGCGACGAGUAGACGCAGAAGCGCAUCCACAGAUGCGGACUUUGGCGCGCAGGUGCGGACUCUGGAGUUUAAUGAAAAACUCGCAGGUGCGGCGUCCUAGCCGCAGAAGAGAGAGUUUCGAGGGCUUGAUUCAUUUCUCCAUUUUUGGACUUGGGAGCUCGGAAAUUGGCGAUUCUUUGAGGGAUUUUGAGAGAGAGCUUUGGGGUAACGAUUCCUAACUCGUUUUUGGUUGUAUUUCAUUAAUCUAUAGUUGUUUUCUCCAUUUAUUUUUGGAUUGGGAUUGAAAAGUUGGGAAAAUAGGGAAAAAGUUCCCUAACCGAAUUUCUGAGUUUUCAUUGGGAUUUAGACAUCGGAUUUGGUUAAUUUUGGUACGAGUGAUCUCGUGAGUGAAUGAGUGUUCAUAUUUGGUAACUUUUACCCGAUUCCGAGACGUGGGCCCAGGUCGAAGUUUUAGGACGGAUUUCGGAAUUCUUAUUAAAAUUUUGAUUUCAUUAAUUAUAUUAGUUUAUUAUAGUUGUAUUUAUGAUAUGUAAUUAUUUUUAGUUAGAUUUGGGCCAUUCGGAGUCAGAUAUUCGUGGAAAAGGCAUUGUUACCGAUUGAUUGAGCUUGGUUCGAGGUAAGUGGCUUGCCUAACUUUGUGUGGGGGAAAUCUCCUUAAGAUUUGGAACUAUUGUGAUAUGUGAGCGUCGUGUACGUGAGGUGACGAGUACGUACACGGGCUAGUUGUGAAAAAAAAUCGAUUGUCUUACUGAGCAGCAACCUGUUUUCCUUUUAUUUUGAGUUAUACUAUUUUAAUGAGUAUUAAUCUAUUUUCAUUCUUAAUUGAGUCAUUCCAAUAUGUGUAGCUAUCAUGUUUAGUCUAAUACAGCAUGUCUACGUGUCUUAACUGCUUAUGUGAACUGUGUGCAGCAUGCUUAGUGAAUUUUCUGCUUCUUCCUUGACUGGUGCUUAGUCUAAAUCGUAAGAUUUUGUGAUGUAGUUGUAUUUCUAUUGUUUGCGCUGCAUAUUUACUUUGGGACUAUGGAACGGUAUUCCGAGAGAUCCUCUUGUACUUCAUAUUUACUUUGGGACUACGAAACGGUAUUCCGGGAGAUCCCCCUGUACUGCAUAUUUACUUUGGGACUACGGAACGGUAUUCCGGGAGAUCCCCUUGUACUGCAUAUUUAUUUUGGGACUACAGAACGGUAUUCCGAGAGAUCCCCCUGUAUUGCAUAUUUAUUUUGGGACUACGGAACGGUAUUCCAAGAGAUCCCCCUGUCUUGCAUAUUUACUUUGGAACUACGGAACAGUAUUCCAGGAGAUCCCCUACACAUUUACGUUUGAAACUAUGAGACGGUAUCUCGGGAGAUCCCCUGUUGUAUUUUUGUGUAUUGAGCUGUUACCUUCUAUAAAUUCUUUCUUGUUAAAUUUCAGUCUUUAUUUUACUACAAUAUUUCAUUUUUGCCUUGCUUUAUUAUCAUAUUCCAGUAGGGCCCGGACCUGACCUCGUCACUACUCUACCGAAGUUAGACUUGGCACUUAUUGUGUACUGAUUAUGGUGUACUCAUGCUACUCUUCUGCACAUAUUUUGUGUGUAGAUCCAGGUACUUCUUAUCAGCCCCGCUACUAGCUGAGAGUGCUUGCUGCUGUACGGAGAUUUCAAGGUAUAUCUGCCGCGUCCGCAAACCUCGGAGUCCUCCUCUAUUCCCUCCUAUGUCAUUUACCUUCCUUACUUCUGUUAUUAGACUCUGGUGUAUAGAGAUACUAGUUUUCUUCUGUAGCUUGUGACUUACGAUGUUCCGAGUUUUGGGAUUACUGUGUAUUUUGAACAGCUAGUUGUUUAAUUCAUGUUUUCAUUUCAUUAUUUCGCAAAUGUUAGGCUUACCUAAUCAUAGAGAUUAGGUGCCGUCACGAUGUCAUACGGAGGAGAAAUUGGGUCAUGACAAUAUCACUCUUACUAUCCUUUAAACAAUUAAAAUAACUUUUACAUAGGUUUAUAAUUAAUUUAAUAAGGUUACAUCUUAAUAUUGGUAAAAUAGCCUACUAUUUCAAAAUAAACCCUUAAUUAGUACCUCAAAUAGAAAACAGGAUAUUUAGUAAUUAAUUAGCUAAUUAUAGUAAUUAGCAAUGUAUUUGAUAAUUUUAAUUUAUAUUAUAUUUUAUUAAAAUUAUUUAAGUUUAAUUAAAUUAAUUAUAAAAGGAGUUAAAGACCGAAAUGGCUACAAUUGAAAAUACCUAAUUAAAUACAAUUUGGCUAUCUAUUAAAUCAUUUUUAGCCCAAUACCCAAGCCUAAACAAAUCUGAUCCAGUAAAAAACCCAUCUUAUCCACCUUGGCAAUCCGGUCCACUCUCAAUGAACCAGUCCGUACUUUCCACGUCGCCCCUUCCACACCACUCACAAAAGAAGCACAAUCAAUCUCAGCCGCCUAUCCCUCAUAUCAACGGCCCGUGUUUAUCCUCGUUUUCCCCUUUAUUUUUAAUACUCCAUCAGAUUCAACCUUAACCGUCCAAAUCCAAUAAUCCAACGGUUAUCAUAUUACACUAAUUUAAUUAUUUAAUCCCUGAUUUAUCAGCGCCGUUGAUCUAAAGAUCCAAUGGCCCAGAUCUCUCCAACCUGUUUAAACCCCUAGAGACAACCCAAUCCUCUCAAACCUUAAUCAUUCGUCUCCCAGACUCGGCCGCCCCCUUUCCCCCUUCUCUCUCAUUUUCUCUCAACUCACCAUACCCCAUCAAUCAAAGAACCUUGCACAAAUUAGUGCAAGGUCAUGAAUCAUGACCAGAAAUCAUCCCCUUUGUCCUAUUUAUCCACGAUUCUCGCCGAAUGUUUGCUCAUUUCAUUUUGGAGAUUAGAAUCCCCAAAUCCAAAACCCAAAAAAAAAAAGACCAAACAAUGCAAUGUCAAGUCUUCAAAGAUCCUUCUAUAUUUUGUUAAAUCCGUGGCAUGCAUGAACAUUUCUCAGUGUUAUCAUGAUUAUUCUUGGUCCAGAAGUCAAGCAAAGUGACCUCUGAACAUUGAGGCUCUUACCCGAUGGUUCUUGCCUUCAACGGUCAACUUUCCCCCUCUUAGGUAAUAAUUCUCGCUGAUUUCUCUUUGUCUUCUUAGAUUUUCACUCGAUUAUGCUCGCAUCACCACCCCUCUGUCACCUUCCUCUACCAGUUUGAAUCAUGUUGAACCCUAGAGACAUUUUAAUGCCACUAUAAAUAGGGGCUUUAAUGCUCUCACCUAAAAGGAAAAGGGACAUACGAAAUCACUUAACAAAUAUAGAAAUAUCAAUUUCUAAUCUCGAGUAGCAAAAAUCAAGUUAGGGCUUUCGAACUAGUUUCUGAUUCUUUCCGAUUCUUAACGGCUGAGAAAGACUCUUCUUUGGUUUGCUGCCCAAAAGAAGGUCAGUGAACCUCAACCUUUCUUGUUUUUUAAUUGUUUAAUUGAAAGCAUAUUUGUUCUAUUAUCUUUUGUUAAAUGGCUCUAUCUCUAAUACGUUAUGGUUGAUUAUCUCUAGAUGUCCGACGAGCGCAAAACACACACUUAAAUUCUGCUCGCUAAUCAAAUAUAGUAUAGUAUAAUAUCGUACCCACAGGGAUUGGAUUUAAAUAGUAUUCUUGUAGCUUCUAGCUUGGUUGUUAUCCAAGAUAAUCAACAGUUGAGAUUUAUAAGAUGUCUCACUAAAAUUAACUAAGAAUCUAAAGCUAUUGACUAAUGACAAUCAAAGCAAGGAAUAAGCAAAGAAGGUUAUCAAUGGGAGAAGACAAGCUUUUGAUAGGAUAUGUGCAAGAUAAUUGUUCGGGAUCUAACUCUAGAUAAUUCACUUCUAAUGUUCAAGUGAGUCUCUCUAAUUCAAGUCUUAACAUCACAAGAUGAACCAAUUUCAGCACAUGAAGAUAUGCCGGAAUGCAUAGUGGAUUGGUCUUUAGGAAAACCUCUUUCGAUUAUUCUCCUAACUAGGUUUAAUAAAUUAUUCAACUAGCCUCUUUCGAUUACUAAGAAGAAUUAAUGAACUCAACCAACAAUAUAAUGCAAAGAUAUCGCAAGUUAUGCCUCUCUCGAUUACAUGAACUAGUGAAUAUAGACGCAACGAUUAAAUAAUACACCAAAUCCAUCAAACCCUAAAGAGAACUACUCUAUAGAUAUGGAACAAUCACCACAAAUAAAAUUAAAGUAUAGGAAAACAUAAUUUCAAUCCACCCUUGGGACUUGAGUGAGGAAGGAAAGAUGAAAUCCUUGUGCUUGUGUUCUUCCAACUCCUCCUUAGGUCGAAAGUAUGUCAAAAGUCCAGAAAAUAAUGUUUUUCCAUAUAUUUAUACCAAGUACGGUCGGGCCCAGAUGAAACCACCUUCUCCUAGCCGAAAUAGGACAUUGGCUCUGUAACAAUUACACAGGCGCACUGCAUAGGGCGACACGCCAUGCGGGGCAUUAGUGGGGAAAUCUAGAGAGCAUUUGGGCAGCCGCGGCCUACCACGCGCCGCGGUUGUGGAGUUUUCUCAGAGUACAGAUUUUUGCUUGAUUUUUGACGUCCGGACUUGGUCCUCGACCCCCGAACACGAUCCCGGCUUAAUCCAUUGGGCCUUUACUCAAACUUCAAAGCUCCAAAUAGCUCGAAUUAGCUCCACAACAUCUACAUAGCUCGGAAUCACUCAUACAAGGCAGAAAACAAACAAUAAGUGCAAAACACUACCAAUUAAAGCUCAAACACAAAUAAAGUGCUGUGAAUUAGAGUGCACUAAGCGACUAAAACACGUAAUUAUAGCCUACCAUCAACACCCCACACUUAAAACCAUUGCUCGUCCUCGAGCAAUCAAACUACACUUCAUAUAGAUACGACUUUUUUCAACAACUCUAAUAACUCAUCAUACCAAGAAUAUUUAAAACAUAUUAAGCACAAUACCAUAACAUCCUCGCAUCAAGAUUUGCCUCAAAAGCACCAUGCAAUUUUUCACAACCUGCUCACUUACUCUAACACAGAGGUCAACGACAUUACCUUUCCUUCAUGAAUCAAGUGCCCCCACACAACAAUAGAGAGUAGUACCAAAAACAAUAAAAUUUAAGAACAAUCAGGAACUCAAGAUAGAAAGAAUUCACUCACUCUCAGAAAUAACAUUCGUAUGCCACAAACGACGUACCAUAGGCUUGACCGUAGUGUACUACUCUACUAAAUGAGCUCAUUCAGUCAACGAUCAAGUAGGACUUUAAUUGGUUGUAAUGUAGGUUGUGGGAUGGGUAUGAUGUAUUUAGAUAUAAGUGUGACUACACCUCCCUAAGCACUUUAGCACAUACAAUUAGCCAUUCAAAACCCCAUACUUAUGUCAAACCAUAACUCCACCUUCACAUCAAUAUACAUUAAUUCCCUACUUCUUUAAGAACAAUUACAUCAAGUUACCACUAUCAAGGAAUAUUGUUUUUCACAAUCAUAUACUCAUUUUUUCCUUUCUUUUUCAAUUCAAGCGGCUCUUUCUUUUUCAAAACAGUGUACCUUUUUCCUUAAUUCAAUAGUUCCACUCAAAAACCAAACCAACCACCCCACACUUCAACUUUUACAAAGUUCAUAACAAAUUCAAGUGCUCACUAAAGGUACAAGGUUCAAAUAGUGUCAAUUUAAACACAUGGGUAAGGCUUGUGAUGUGGUUGCCAAAGAAAUAGGAUCAUAGGCUCAAAGGGGUUAACUAAGAUACAUAACAAUUAGGUGAGUAAAACAUAUAUCUAGCUCAACAAAGAAAUGCCUAUAUCACUUCCAAGACUGAAUAAAACUACUUUCGCUUUGCAAACACACGGGGCAAUUUCUAGACAUCAACUGCAAUGUACAUAAUAGCACAAGACCUCACACACACAUGGCACAUAACUCACUCAGGAUUAGACUAUCAAGACACUCUAGUCAAAGCACUUAAGCAAAGUUAAGAUCAUACACUUUAAGGUACUCAUACAAGAUUCAAAAACUGAGCCUAAGCCUCACACUAAAGCAUUCACUAUUCUUAAGGCACAAUAAAGUUAAGAGAUAUUGGCUUUAAUUCAAAUCACAGCACAAGGCUUCCUACUCCUAACAAAAAUAAAAACUAAUUACACCCGGUUCAAACAAAACCCUUGAAAAAGAACCACGGCACAAAGAAAAACCAAGGGAGAAUUGUUACACUACCUAACAAAAGAAAAUCUUUUUGUCUUUUUUCUUUCUACUUUAAUCCCUCAAGAAACCUGUCGAUGAUAUCCAUCGUUUGGAAAAAUCGGGAUAUUUAAAUUUUUUAAGUUUUUUUUAUGUUUUGUUUUUUCAAUUUUUUCUAUCCCCAACUACUACAACUAUAAAAAAGAAACCUAAUAUACAUACAUACAUACAAAAAUCGGGAUAUUUAAAAUUUUUAUGUUUUGUUUUCAAUUUUUUCUAUCUCCAACUACUACAACAAACAAAAAGAAAACUACAAAAAUAAAACUAAUAUACAUACAUACAUACAUACAUACAAAUAUCCCUCACCCCACAAUUUAAGUUGUGGCAUGUCCCCAUGACACACAAUUAAAAAGCAUAAGGUAAAGGAACUUCCCUAAAUAUCUAGUCGGGGUCUGAGUCGAAGUCGGGCUCCAUUCCUCGUGCUCGAACUAAUUCACACAUCCAUACAGACAACUUCUUCUCAGCCUUUUUGGGGUACACCCCACACUUAUCUUUCUCACUCACCGCAGCCUUCUCUUUCGAGCCCUUCACAUUCCAUUCAACACUUGCAGCUGGUUUUCCUUUUUGCACCCCCUUUUCUAUAUCCAUCUUGAAAGUCACAGUCACCUCACCCACUCUAAGCAUAAGAUUUCUCUCAUGUAUAUCAUGUAUCUCUCUGCCCAUUGCUAAGAACAGUCUACCUAGGAUGAGGGGGACCUUCUUAUUCUCCUCCAUAUUUACCAUUGUAAAAUCCACAGGAAAUACGAACUUAUCCACCCGAACUAACACAUCUUCCACUAUGUUCUCGGGUAUUAAAGUUGUUUGGUCUGCUAAUUGCAAAGAUAUUGGUGCAGAUCUUAUCUCUCAAAUCUCCUUCUCUAGUUUCCUGUAAAUAGAUAGAUGCAUUAAAUUAAUUGAGGCACUAGAAUCACAUAAAGACUUAUCAAAAUUAAUAGUUCCUAAAGAGCAAGGUAUAGUAAAACUCUCUGGAUCUCCACACUUUCGUAGGAGUUUAUUUUGCAAUAUCGCACGGCAAUGCUAUGUGAGCUUGACCAUUGAGGUCUCCUCUACUUUCCUCUUCUUCGUAAGGUUUCAAGAAUUUAGCAUAAGAAGGCAUUUGUGAGAGCACUUCUGUGAAUGGUAAGUUCACAUGAACCUGUUUCAACAUAUCCAGAAAUUUCCCAAACUGCCUGUCUAGCUUUUCUCUACAUAGUUUUUGAGAGAAAGGUAGCACAGACAUAUGCUUGCCUUCCUCAUGUUCCUCCCUUCUCAAUUUUUCUUCCUUCUUCUUAUUCUCAGAUUUCAUUAGGCUCUUCUUCUUCUUGUCAUCAUCACUUUUCAGCUACUCCCCACUUUCUUUUUCAAGUAUCACAUCUUUUUGGAUUAGGGCAGGGUCUUUCAAUACUUGACCACUUCUCAAAGUUACAACAUUCACUGUUUCUUUGGGAUUUCUUUCGAUAUCAGUAGGGAGAGUUCUUGGAACCUUCUCAGAUAAUAUUGUUGCAAUCUGUCCCACUUGCUUCUCUAAAUUUCGAAUUGCUUCCCCUUGUACUUUAAAUCUUUCAUCAGUUUUCACAAUGAAGGCCUUCAUGACAUCUUCUAGACUAGGCUGAUUGGCUAUUGAGGCUGAAACUGCUGCCUCUACUGAUUCAUAAAAUAGGAGCUCCUUGUCCCUGAAAUCUGGGGUUGUUUUGUUGCCAUGCAUUAGCGGUACCCCCAAGUGAAGUCCAUGAAAAAUUGGGGUGCUUCUGACCUAUUGCAUUAAAGUUGUUAUUUCCCACAACAUUCACUUCCUCAGUUGAGGCUUGACACUCAUGAGUAGGGUGUCAUCUUCCACAUAUAUCACAGGCUGCAUGAUGCUCAUUUUGUAUCGAGGCUAAGGUCAACUUCCUUAUUUCUUUAGCCAUAGCAUCAAGUUGUACCUACACAGAUGUAUUAGCAUCAACUUUGUGAACACUAGUUGAUCUUCUUCUUUCAGCACUCUCAGAGGGCCACUGAUUUGCAUCUUCAGACAGCUCAUCAAGAAUUGUAACUAUCUCAUCUGGAGUCUUCUUCAUCAACGGGCCUUCAGUUGUAUUGCUCAAUAUUCUACGUAAGGAUGAUGUCAAUCCACCCCAAAAGUCCUGGAGCUGCAUCCAGAGUUCAAUUCCACUAUGCUGACACUUUCUAACUAUCUCCUUAAACCUAUCCCAUACUUCAAUAACAGUCUCGGUCUCUUUCUGGCAGAACUUAUGGAUUUCUCUUCUAAACUUGCCCGUCUUAGCUGAUGAGAAAUAUUUAUCAAGAAAUUUUAUGGUCAUCUCAUCCCAUGUUCUAAUCGAUCCCGUGGGUAAGCUUCAAAGCCAUUGCUUUGCAUCAUCUUUGAGUGUAAAUGGGAAUGCCCUUAAGUGCACUGCAUCUUGUGACACACCAUUAUAUUGAAAGGUGUUCAUAAUCUCUUCGAAGUCCAUUAGAUGUGUAUUUGGAUCUUCAUUCAUCUUCUCUCUGAAGACAUAAUAAUUCUGAAGGGUUUGAAGCAACCCUUGCUUCAAUUCGAAAUUGUUAGCUACAAUCGGAGGUGGUCUCAUACUUGAUAAUCCUUGGUUGUAGACCGGUCUAGCAUAAUCGCCCAAUGAUCUCCUAGGCAUGGGAGCUACAUUCAGAACUGGUCUGCAGCCAAGGGUUGAUUUUGAGCAAUUCUCCGACCUCUCUCUUCUUCAUAGAUAAUCUGUGCUUCUCUAAUGGCUGCUUUCUCAGCAUCCCGUGCAUCUUUUUCCCGUUGUUGGGCUGCCUCUCUUGCAGCCAAAUCUACAUUAUCAUCACCAUUUCCAGCCAUAGUUUCCUUGGUUGAGGACUACCCAACCUUUUCUAACAUCUCAGUGAGAUUUCUUUCCAUCCUCAGCUGUCGCAGUUAUUUUUCUAUCUCGGGCUCGUAUGGUAGCACUUCUUUCGCAGAAGCUCGAGUCAUGCACCAAUCUAAACCUAUAACCUACGCACAAUCAACGAAUACCAAACGUAAAAAGGGAAAAAUAAAAUAAAAUAAAAAGAAAAAAUUCCUAAAUUAGCACUACAAACUAUUUCAAACACUAUCGAUUACCAAUCCCCGGCACGACGCAAAAAUUUGAUGAGCGCAAAACACACACUUAAAUUCUGCUCGCUAAUCAAAUAUUGUAUAGUAUAAUAUCGUAUCCACAUGGAUUGGAUUUAAACAGUAUUCUCAUAAUUUCUAGCUUGGUUGCUAUCCAAGAUAAUCAAUAGUUGAGAUUUAUAAGUGUAACGACCCGACUAGUCGUUUUGAGAAUUUAAGUCCCGUUCGGCAGCAUAAGGUCUUGAGAAGCUUCGUAUUAUGUGUAUUGACUUGUGUGCAUGGUUGAAUUCAGUUACCGAACGAUUCAGAGUCAAAUCGGAAGGAGGACUUAAGUUUUGGAAGCUUAAGCGGUUAGAGUUGACAGAAUUUGACUUUUUAUGUAAACAGAUCCGGAAUGGGUUUUGGAUGAUUCCAAAAUAUUUGAAUGGUGAUUUUGGACUUAGGCGUACGUCCAGAUUUGGAUUUGAGGUCCGUAGGGUAAUUUGGAGCAUUUCGGCGAAAGUUGAAAAAGUUGAAGUUUUGAAGGUUGAGAGGUUUGACCAAGAGUUGACUUUGCUGAUAUCGGGGUCGGAAUGCAGUUUUGAGAGUUGGAACAACUCCGAUAUGUCAUUUAGGACUUGCCUGCAAAAUUUGACGUCAUUCCGGGUAGAUUUGAUAGGUUUCGGCACGUGUUUUUGAUGUUGGAAGAUUUGAAAGUUCAUAAGUUCGAUUCUUAGCGCGAUUGUAGUUUCGGCGCUGUUUGAUGUGAUUUGAGACCUCGAACAAGUUCGUGUUAGGUUAUGGAACCUGUUGGUAUGUUUAGACGGGGUCUCAGGGGCCUCGGGUGAGUUUUGGAUGGGCUACGGGCCAUUUUCUCCUAUUUUUGGACUGCUGUUUUCUGUCAUUUGGUUUCCUUAAUCGCGUCCGUGUCACUUCCUCCGCAUUCGCGUAGUGUAAUUUAGGAGGAUGAAUUAUUUGUUCUCCGCGCUCGCAUAACUCCUUCCGCGAUCGCGAAAGCCUGCCUUCCCCUUCUUCUCGUUCGCAUCCGCUCCAUCGCGUUCGUGUAGUAGAAACUAGGAGCUGGGAGCUAGUGACCAUGUCCUCUAUGCGCUUGCACUGUUCUAUCCGCGAACGCGUAAGUGUACUUUCCCCUCCUUCACGUUCGCGUGCCGCUUCACGCGUUCGAGUAGCCCAGUUCCUGGGCAAUUAUUUUUCUUUUUCGAUCACACAUGCUUGUUCGCGAUCGCACAUCACCAAUUCCGGGCAGUAGCUAUUUCCUCUUCGCGAUCGUAGCUCCUCUUCCGCGAUUGCGAUGUACAAACACCUGGGCAGCAGAAUAUAUUUUCCAAAUCGAGGGUUUGGCCAUUUUUAUCAUAUCUUGAUUUGUAGAACUCGGCUUAGAGAUAUUCUUUGUGGGGUUUUCAAGAAAAUCGAUUGGGUAAGUGUUCUUCAUCUAGAAUUUAUUAUAUUCCAUGAUAUUAUCUUUAUUUUUAUCAUUUAAUUUGUGUUUUUGAGUGAUGAAAAUGGGGAUUUUUGAAGAAAAAUUUCAAAAUGAAAAAUCAUAUUUUGAGGGACGAAUUGGUAUCGGAAUUUGAUAAUUUUGGUAUGGUUGAACUCGUAUCAGAAUAGGUGUUCAGGUUUUGUGAAAUUUAUCAAGUUCUGAGGUGCGGGCCCAGGGGUUGAAUUUUGAGUCGAUUUUUAGAUUUCAAUAAAGAUUGAGGCUUUAUGAUCCGGAAUAGUUUCUUAUGUAUUUUAUUUGUGCUUUGAAGUUAUUUUGGUUAGAUUUGAGCAGUCCGGAGGCCAUUUCACCCGAGAAGUUCAUUUUUGAGUACUGGUCUGCCUUCUUUGAGGUAAGUAUCUUGCCUAACUUCGUGUGGGGGUACUACCACUUAGGAUUUGAGUCUUCUAUGCUAAUUGUAGUCCGUGUACGCGAGGUGACGAGUACGUGCUCGGACUUAUUUGUGGAAAAUUGACCUUUUAGGAUUAUUAAGUCCUUGUAUUCACUGAUUAUGCAGUUGUUAUGUUAUGAAUACGUCUCUUAAUUGCUAGUUUCACCUCUACAUGCUUUAAUUAGAAUUAAUUGCUUCAUGAUCCACUAUUGUUGCUUAUUUAAUUCUUCAGUGCCUUAACUGAAAUUGUUAUCUCUUAUAUUGCCAUGUUAUCCUUUCCUAACUGCUUAUCCUUAUUGAAUUUGUUGUAUCUCGUUCCUAAUUUCCCAACCUUAAAAGAAGUUAGAUAUCCUAUAAUUUAGUUGACUGUCCUUAUUUGGAAUUAUUCGACUUGUGUUAGCUCCCUCGUCGUCGAACUGUAUAUUGUAGACCAUUGUUACAUAGUAUUUCCUUUCUUGUUGAGCUGUUCUUAUUAUGACUAGCAUUCUCUAUUGUGGCUACUUUUUGUGACAUAGUUCCUCCGUUUCUUUGAGUUCUAGUAUCUCUGAGUUGACUUAAUUGUCGUACCCUUGUAUUAUUUUCAUUGUUGAUGUUGUACUUGCUGUUCUGAAGCACGAGGUUUCUAUCGUGCGGUUGUUGUUAUUGUGAUGCACGAGGUUUCUGCCGUGCGGUUGUUGUUAUUGUGAUGCAUGAGGUUUCUGCCGUGCGAGUUUUAUUGGGUUGCACGAGGUUUCUGCCGUGCUAUUGUUAAUAUUGAUAUUUAUAUUUGCGGCGUGACAAGGCGUGCUAUAUAUAUAUGGGUUGCGCAUGUGGCGAGACAAGGUGGUAACAUUAUUAUGCACGUGUGGCGAUACAAGGCGGGCAUUUACUUUACUAUUGCACAUGUGGCGAGACAAGGUGGGCUAUGUCAAGGAUUGAUUUGUGAUGGCCUGGGGGCAUUGUUGUUGAUGAUGUUUGUGUAGUGGUACACUUACCUGUGUGAGCUUUAUCUUGUGGAAAGCUGUGAGAAAACAUUCUAUGUGCUGUCCAUUUCUUUUCCUAUACUUACUUGCUGGCAUGAACCAUGUUAGGACACUUGCACAAGCAUACACAUAGUUGAGCUCUCUUAUCGGUUAAGAGGUUUUCUUGAUAUUACUGAGUAUAGAUGCACACCCUUGUUUACUUGCCUUCUAUGUGAGAAUGGCUCUAUUUGGCACGUGAGUCGUCAGUGCGGUUAUGAAGUGUAAUGAGGGCACAUGAUGCCAAGUGUUAGGGUUCGGGUAUUGGGACCUGUGAGUUGUGAAUAGUAUGAGGUUUGGUACCUCGUGGAGUUUAUUGACUAAAACCUGGUGUGAAAGCGGUCGUUUUAUUGAGUUGUUACUUGUCCUUUCUUUAUCUGUGAUUAUCGGAUUUAGGCUGUGUUUCCGUUCAUUCUUCUAUGUCAUUAUUAUUGUGUUCCGCUGAUAGUUGUUGUUUUCCUUCCUUAUUGCAAUUACCAUAAUAUUUACCAUUUUGCGUAGUCUUUAUGUAGAUAUCAUACUUUAUUGUUCCUAUACUUAUACUUGUUCAGGUUAUUUAGUCCAGUAGGUGUUUUGACUGUAGCUCGUCGCUACUCCACUGAGGUUAGUCUUGAUACUUGUUGGGUACCGUCGUGGUGUAGUCAUAUUGCACUUCUGCUUAUUUUUGUGCAGAUCCACGUAUUUCGAAGUCAGUUGAUCAUUAGCUAGCUGUGUGGAUUGUUGUUGUGGAGACUCAAGGUAAACCUGCUGCUGCGUUCCUAAGCUUUAGAGUCACCUUCUGAUUUGUAUUCACGCUGGUUACUUUAUUUCAAACAGUUGUAUUUUGAAAAUUGUAGCAAACUCUGUAGAGCUUAUGACUUGUACUACCGGUUUUAGGAAUUAUAAAUUUUAUAGCAGUUUCUAUUUCAUAAAUUGUUAGAUGUUAUUUAAUUAUCGUUGUUAUUCAGCUAAUGUUAGGCUUAUCUAGUCCUUAAGACUAGGUGCCAUCACGACACCCAACGAAGGAAAAAUUGGGUCACGACAAGUUGGUAUCAGAGCCCUAGGUUCAUAGGUGCAACGAGUCAUAAGCGAGUUUAGUAGAGUCUUGCGGAUCGGUACAGAGACUUCUCUACUUAUCUUUGAGAAGCUAUGGAACUAUUAGGACAUUUUCAUUUCCUUCAUUCCUAUCGUGCGAGUUUAGUGAUCUCUAAGUUUGAAGCUUUUAUCAUUCCAUUCUCUCACAGAUAGUGAGGACACGAGCUACAAUUACUGAUGACGCUGCUCCCGGAGCAGGUGUCGCUAGGGGCGGAGGCAGAGGCCGAAGAGGAGCACGCGCCACAGCUAGAGCAUCCACCAGAGCAGCAGUUGAGGAGCCGCCAGUAGCUCCGGUUAGGGGACAGGUACCAGAGGCGCCUGCUAUUACCCCCAGACUUCAGGAGACCUUAGCACAGUUCCUAAGCAUAUUUGGUACAUUGGCUCAGGCGGGGUUGAUUCUGGUUACACCAGCUACUUCACAAACCGGGGAAGGAGCUCAAACUCCUGCCGCCCACACUCCAGAGAAGCGAGUUCAUGUUGUUCAGGUUCCAGGUGUCAUUGCGACACAGCCUGUGGUCCCAGUUCAGCCCAUGGUUAGGGCAGCAGCAUCUGAGGAAGAACAGCUUAGACUUGAGAGGUAUAAGAAGUACCACCCUCCUACCUUCAGUGGAUUGGCGACAAACGAUGCCAGGGUUUCCUGGAGGAGUGUCACUGCAUUCUUCGUACUAUGGGUAUUGUGGAGACAAGCGGGGUUGCUUUUGUUACGUUCCAGCUUAGGGGGGGACUUANNNNNNNNNNNNNNNNNNNNNNNNNAGAGUAUGUCGAUAGAUUCAAUGAUUUGGCUGGACAUGCAACUGCUUUGGUCGCUAUAGUUAGAGAGCAUGUCCGUAGAUUCAUUGAGGGGCUCAGGCAUGAUAUUCGGUUCAGCAUGGCUCGGGAGUUAGAGUCGGAUGUUUCAUUUCAGCAGGUGGUAGGGAUCGCUCGCUGAGUGGAAGGCAUAUGGGAUCAGGAGAGAGAGGACAGGCAGGGUCAGGAGAGAGAGGACAGGGAGGCUAGGAGGCCUCGUAGACAGGAGAGAUCCACUGGUCAUUAUUUUGGAGGCAGGGUACGGCAUGGUAGAGGUUUUGUGGGUCAGCUAGUUCAGCUUGCACUUCAGGCUUCGCACGGUGUUUCAGGUACUCAUGGGUCUCAGAGUACCCGUACUGCAUAGUUUCCACAACCACAUCAGCAGAGGGAUUGCUUUGAGUGUAAAGAUACCAUCCACAUGGUGAGAGAUUAUCCCAGACUCCAGACAAAUGUGUCACAACGGGGUAUUCAAUGAUGCCAUACAGGUAUGCUUUUGAUUUGUUAUAGAGGGGCACCAUUUGCAUUUUGAUUCGGUUCUUCUUAUCGGGGUGAGUCCCCUUAUUUAUUGAUUCCACCUAUGGGUGAAUUCAUGACUUAGUAUUCUAUAUAUGUGUUUACCCCUGUUGGGAGAUUCUAUGAGUGGUAGCCCGUGUCUAUCAUUUGCUUUUAUUCAUUAUUGAGAGUUACGAGGCUAUAAUUGAAUUUCUCUUGUCCAUUAUGGUAGGUUUGAUGUGAUUCUUGAGUAAUUUGGUUACGAUUUGUGAUUUGAUACUCUACCGGGGUGAGAGUUUAGUAAGUGUUGUGAUUUUAUUGGCAGAAUUGAGUUAGUGGAAGAUUUCCAUUGGUAUGAUGUGUAUUCGACUUAUGAUUCAGAGUUGAGGGUGAGACCCUAGUGAUUCCAUUUGAUUUGUUAUGUUUGAGUCGGGCUGCGUGCCGUGGUGGAAGUUAUAUCAGGAUGAGAUCCUUGUGAUUUGUUCAUAUACUUUAAUUUUUCCUUUUAAAUUGAUUUGUAGGAUGGUACUCAUAGAGAGUUGUGCCUGUUGGGCUUUGAUAUUUCUCUUAUGUGUUUUUCUUUACAUAUUCAGUCAUUUUUCAUUAUGUGCUUCUUGAGUUUUAGCUUGCGGGUAUAUGCCUGGUGGUGUUAGUUGUGACUUGUUGAUUCGAGUGUAUAGUUAAGAGGUCUUCAUGUUGCUUACAUCAUUGUCAGUGUUGUGGAGGUUUGAAAUAGGGUUCUAACAGAUAUGAGGCUAAUUGCCGGUGCUAGUUUUGAUUACGGGCAGCUAUUGUGAUCAGAAAUAACAUUAUGGGCCUAUGUGUGGUGUGCCAUGUUGGGUGGUCGUACCUUGUGGCUGUAGGCAUGAGUUGUUGCAGCAGGUUGAGACUGAUACCGGGUAUGGAUUUAGAAUCGGGUCCUUUGGAGAUGAACAUAAGGUGAGAAUUUUGACUCUAAGGCUUAUCAGUAUUGGUAGAAAGGAUAAAUUACAGUUGAGAUGGUGUCGUCAGGCUUAUAUGGAUUGGGGUGACGUGGGGUCACCUGUGGGUGUAUGUUGGAUAUGUGCAUUCAGUGAUUUGAACACGUCAAGGCGAUUCUUGGCACAUUCGAGGACGAACGCUUGUUUAAGAGGGGGAGGAUGUAACGACCCAGCCAACCGUUUUGAGAAUUUAAGUCCCGUUCGGCGGCAUAAGGUCUUGAAUAGCUUCGUAUUAUGAGUAUUGUCUUGCGCACGUGGUUGAAUUUAGUUACCGGACGAUUCAAAGUCAAAUCGGAAUGAGGAUUCAAGUUUUGGAAGCUUAAGCGGUAAGAGUUGACCGGAAUUUGACUUCUAGUGUGAACGGCUCCGGAAUGGAUUUUGGAUGAUUCCAACAGCUUAGAAUGGUGAUUUUGGACUUCGGCGUGCAUCCGAAUUUGGAUUUAGAGGUCCGUAGGGUAAUUUGGAGCAUUUCGGCGAAAGUUGGAAAAGUUGAAGUUUUAAAGGUUGAGAGGUUUGACCAAGAGUUGACUUUGGUUAUAUCGGGGUCGGAAUGCGAUUCCGAGAGUUGGAACAGCUCUGUUAUGUCAUUUGGUACUUGCCUGCAAAAUUUGACAUCAUUCCGGGUUGAUUUGAUAGGUUUCGACACGCGUUUUUGAAGUUGGAAGAUUUGAAAGUUCAUAAGUUCGAUUCUUGGCGCGAUUUGUAAUUUCGACGUUGUUUGAUGUGAUUUGAGACCUCGAGCGAGUUCGUGUUAGGUUAUGGAGCCUGUUGAUAUGUUUAGAUGGGGUCCCGGUGGCCUCGGGUGAGUUUCGGAUGGGUUACGGGCCAUUUCCUCCUAUUUUUGGACUGCUAUUUUUUGUCAUCUGGUUUCCUUAAUCGCGUCCGCGUCACUUCCUCCACGUUCGCGUAGUCUAAUUUUGGAGGAUGAAUUAUUUUUUCUUCAUGAUCGCGGAAGCCUACCUUCCCCUUCUUCGCGUUUGCAUCCGCUCCAUCGCGUUCGCGUAGUAGAAACUAGGAGCUUGGAGCUGGUGACCAUUUCCUCUACGCGUUUGCACUGUUCUAUCCGCGAAUGCGUGGGUGUGCUUUUCCCUCCUUCGCGUGCCGCUUCACGCGUUCGCGUAGCCCAGUUCCUGGGCCAUUAUUUUCCUUGUUCGCGAUCGCACAACACCAAUUCCGGGCAGUAGCCAUUUCCUCUUCGCGAUCGCAGCUCCUCUUCCGCGAUCACGAUGUACAAACACCUCGGCAGCAGAACAUAUUUUCCAAAUCGAGGGUUAAGCCAUUUUUAUCGUAUCAUGACUUGUAGAGCUCGGUUUUGAGCGAUUCUUUGUGGGUUUUUCAAGCAAAUCGAUUGGGUAAAUGUUCUUCACCUAGAAUUUAUUAUAUUCCAUUAUCAUGUCUUUAUUUUUAUUAUUUAAUUAGUGUUUUUGAGUGAGGAAAAUGGGGAUUUUUGAAGAAAAAUUUCAAAAUGAAAAAUCAUGUUUUGAGGGACGAAUUGGUAUCGGAAUUUGAUAAUUUUAGUAUGGUUGAACUCGUAUUGAAAUGGGUGUACGGGUUUUGUGAAAUUUGUCGGGUUCCGAGGUGUGGGCCCGAGGGUCGACUUUUUGGUCGAUUUUUGGAUUUCGAUAAAGAAUGAGGCUUUAUGAUCCAGAAUAGUUUCUUAUGAGUUUUAUUUGUGCUUUGAAGUUAUUUUGGUUAGAUUUGAGCAGUCUGGAGGCCAUUUCACCCGAGAAGUUUAUUUUUGAGUAUCGGUCUUCCUUCUUUGAUGUAAGUAUCUUGCCUAACUUCGUAUGGGGGAACUACCCCUUAGGAUUUGAGUCUUCUAUGCCAAUUGUAGUCCGCGUACGUAAAGUGACAAGUACGUGCUCGGACUUAUUUGUGGAAAAUUGGCCUUUUAGGAUUCUUAGGUCCUUGUAUUCACUGAUUAUGCAGUUGUUAUGUUAUGAAUACGUCUCUUAAUUGCUAGUUUCACCUCUACAUGCUUUAAUUAGAAUUAAUUGCUUCAUGAUCCACUAUUGUUGCUUAUUUGAUUCUUCAGUGCCUUAACUGAAAUUGUUAUCUCUUAUAUUGCCAUGUUAUCCUUUCCUAACUGCUUAUCCUUAUUGAAUUUGUUGUAUCUCUUUCCUAAUUUCCCAACCUUAAAAGAAGUUAGAUAUCCUAUAAUUUAGUUGACUGUCCUGAUUUGGAAUUAUUCGACUUGUGUUAGCUCCCUCAUUGUCGAACUGUAUAUUGUGGACUGUUGUUACAUAGUAUUUCCUUUCUUGUUGAGCUGUUCUUAUUAUGACUAGUAUUCUCUAUUGUGGCUACUCCUUGUGUCAUAGUUCCUCCGUUUCUUUGAGUUCUGGUAUCUCUGAGUUGACUUAAUUGUCGUACCCUUAUAUUAUUUUCAUUGUUGAUGUUGUACUUGCUAUUAUGAAGCACGAGGUUUCUACCGUGCGGUUGUUGUUAUUGUGAUGCACGAGGUUUCUGCCGUGCGGUUGUUGUUAUUGUGAUGCAUGAGGUUUCUGCCGUGCGAGUUUUAUUGGGUUGCACGAGGUUUCUGCCGUGCUAUUAUUAAUAUUGAUAUUUAUAUUUGUGGCGUGACAAGGCGUGCUAUAUAUAUGUGGGUUGCGCAUGUGGCGAGACAAGGUGGUAACAUUAUUAUNNNNNNNNNNNNNNNNNNNNNNNNNNNNNNNNNNNNNNNNNNNNNNNNNNNNNNNNNNNNNNNNNNNNNNNNNNNNNNNNNNNNNNNNNNNNNNNNNNNNNNNNNNNNNAUGGCCUGGCGGCAUUGUUGUUGUUGAUGUUUGUGUAGUGGUACACUUACCUGUGUGAGCUUUAUCUUGUGGAAAAUUGUGAGAAAACAUUCUACGUGGUGUCCAUUCCUUUUCCUAUACUUACUAGCUGGCAUGAACCAUGUUAGGACACUUGCACAAGCAUACACGUAGUUGAGCACUCUUAUCGGUUAAGAGGUUUUCUUGAUAUUGCUGAGUAUAGAUACACACCCUUGUUUACUUGCAUUUUGUGUGAGAAUGGCUCUAUUUGGCACGUGAGUUGUCAGUGCGGUUAUGAAGUGUAAUGAGGGCACAAGAUGCCAAGUGUUAGGGUUCAGGUAUUGGGACCCGUGAGUUGUGAAUAGUAUGAGGUUUGGUACCUCGUGGAGUUUAUUGACUAAAACCUGGUGUGAAAGCGGUCAUUUUGUUGAGCUUUUACUUGCCCUUUCUUUAUCUGUGAUUAUCGAAUUUAGGUUGUGUUUCCGUUCAUUCUUCUAUGUCAUUAUUAUUGUGUUUCGCUGAUAGUUGUUAUUUUCCUUCCUUAUUGCAAUUACCGUAUUAUUUGCCAUUUCGCGUAGUCUUUAUUUAGAUAUCAUACUAUGUUGUUCCUAUGCUCAUACCUUUUAAGGUUAUUUAGUCCAGUAGGUGUUUUGACUGUACCUCGUCACUACUCUACUGAGGUUAGUCUUGAGACUUGCUGGAUACCGCCAUGGUGUACUCAUACUGCACUUCUGCGCAUUUUUGUGCAUAUCCAGGUAUUUCGAAGUCAGUUAAUCAUUAGCUAGCUGUGUGGAUUAUUGCUAUGGAGACUCAAGGUAAACCUGAUGCUGCAUUUAUAGGCUUUGGACUCACCUUCUGAUUUGUAUUCACGCUGUUUACUUUAUUUCAAACAGUUGUAUUUAGAAAAUUGUAGCAAACUCUGUAGAGCUUAUGACAUGUACUACCAGUUUUGGGAAUUAUAAAUUUUAUAGCGGUUUAUAUUUCAUAAAUUGUUAGAUGUUAUUUAAUUAUUGUUGUUAUUCGGCUAAUGUUAGGCUUACCUAGUCCCUAAGACUAGGUGCCAUCACGACACCCAGCGGAGGGAAAAUUAGGUCAUGAAAAUAAGAUGUCUAACUAAAAUUAACUAAGAAUCUAAAGCUAUUGAAUAAUGACAAUCGAAGCAAGGAAUAAGCAAAGAAGGUUAUCAAUGGGGGAAGAUAGGCUUUUGAUAGGAUAGGUGCAAGAUAAUUGUUCGGGAUCUAACUCUAGAUAAUUCACUUCUAAUGUUCAAGUGAGUCUCUCGAAUUCACUCAAUUAUUAGUUCAAACGUUCAGCAAAAACUCCCCUCUCGAUUAAGUCUUAAUAUCACAAGAUGAACCAAUUUCAGCACGUGAAGAUAUGCCAGAAUGCGUAGUGGAUUGGUCUUUAGGAAAACCUCUUUCAAUUAUUCUCCUAACUAGGUUUAAUCAAUGAUUUAACUAGCCUCUUUAGAUUACUAAGAAGAAUUAAUGAACUCAACCAACAAUAUAAUGCAAAGAUCCUCUCUCGAUUACAUGAAUUAGUGAAUAUAGAUACAACAAUUAAAUCAUCCAAAGUGAUUCAAUACAUAAAACUAGAGUUAUAAUCCACAAACAAUCAUCAAUACACCAAAUCCAUCAAACCCUAAAGAGAACUACUCUAUAGAUAUGGAACAAUUCAUCACAAAUAAAAUUAAAGUAUAGGAAAAUAUAAUUUCAAUCCAAACUUGGGUCUUGAAUGAGGAAGGAAUGAUGAAAUCCUUGUGCUUGUGUUUUUCCAACUCCUCCUUGGCCUCCUUAGGUCGAAAGUAUGUCAAACGUCCAGAAAAUAAUAUUUUUCCAUAUAUAUAUACCAAGUAGGGUCGGGCCCAGAUGAAACCACCUUCUCCUAGCUGAAAUAGGACAUUGGCUCUAUAAAAAUUUCAAAGGCACGCCGCAUGGGGAAACGCACCAUACGGGGAAUUAGUGGAGAAAUCCAGAGAGCUCAACAAUUGACAGGCAGCAGGAUUUGGGAAGCCGCGGCGCACCACGCGCCGCGGUUAUGGAGUUUCUUAGAGUACAGAUAUUUGCUUGAUGUUUGAUGUCCAGACUUGGUCCUCGACCCCCGAACACGAUCCCGACUUAAUCCAUUGGGCUUUUACUCAGACUUCAAAGCUCCAAAUAGCUCGAAUUAGCUCCACAAUAUCUACAUAGCUCGGAAUCACUCCUACAAGGCAUAAAACACAUAAUAAGUGCNNNNNNNNNNNNNNNNNNNNNNNAUAUCGUUAAGCUUCUGAGAAUAACAAAAGAACUUUCAAAUGAUUUUAAUAGUUGUCUUAAUAUUCUGGUGUUCUAUUGUAGAUCUCAUGUGUGCUAUAUUAGUUUGCCUUAGUGUUAUUGGUAUGAUUCACUUGAUACCUGGCCUAAGUGGAUAUGUACAUAUGACGCUAAGUACGGAGCUGUCAUUUAAUCUAAGCAUUGCAGUUUCUAAUGCUUGCAUUGUUUUCUUCUUUAAUGUGUUCUUCUGUGAUUCUAUAACUCUAGAAAAUCGGUGGAAGAACCUUCUGUCAACUCCCAUAAUUGUUUGAUCACAUAUGUGAGCUUUACUGUAUGAGAUAAUGCCUUAAUAUAACUGGAUUAUGCUCUAAUGAACCUCUGUAUUUUGUCUGCUGCUAUCUACUUAGUUGAAGUCAUGUCUAGAAACCUGAUUGAAAUUGCACCUGCUAUAGUUGAAUUCCAUCUGAUUGAAUCAAGUAUUACAGAACUUCAUCAUGAUAGACUAAUAUACUUAGCUUAUAACUAAAACAUGCUUACCUGGUAUAAACUUUCACUAGUGUGGACCACUAUAAUGACAAUAUUAGUCUAAUCCCAUAUUGUUUGGUACUCAAUCAUAUUGUAUGUUGUAGCUUGAUUAGAAUGUAACAUGUACAUAUUUGAAUGUCAUCCAUCUGAAGUUCUGUACUCAUCACUGUCUCAGAAGGGAACUGCUGCUUGUAUAUCAUGUUUGUGACUGUGUUUCCAUAUCAUUGAAACCUACAAAGUUUAUUGCAGUUUACCCAUGGACUUAGGAGAGGCCCUUUGAUAUUUAUCUAUGUUGUUUCAAUGUAGGAUUGUAUAUUUAACUUUUAACCAACCUAGAUGGAAUGACAAAUCUCUUUAGAGGUCACUUGUUAAUGUAUUUGCCUGCCCCUGUCUCUUAAGAACCUUGAAGUGGAUUGUUAACCCUCACACUUAGUGAGAAGUGGAGUGCUAGUCUGUGCAUACAUUUCCAUUAAGUGUAUACAUGAUUAAGUAUAUGAUUACAGCUAAUGAUCUUCAUAAGUAUGAACGUGCUAGUAGGAUUAUUGAGGUUCCUGGUAUCUCCUAUACUUCUUUGAACUACAUGACUUACUUAUUCUGAGUUCUUAUAUUAACGUGUUGGUCUCUUUUCAUUGCUUGCUAGCACCUAUAACUGAUUCUGUUGAGUACUCUGAAGCUUGAUAAAAGUACAUGACAGUGUAUCAUAUGCUUGUGUGCAAACCAUGAUAUGUUUGAUGAUAUUUUGGUGUUCUGAACAGUUAUUUGCAAGAAAUAUAUCUUUCCUUAUGUAUGGUUACCACUGUGGCAUUGAGGUUUACAUUGAAUGCCUCAUUAGCACCUAAAUCUGCAGGGAAGAGUAAGUGUGAGUAGUCAAGGGGUAUUUGGGAGUAGAAUUUAUUUCUUGAUUGAGAUACUCUCCCUGACACAAGCACUGCUCAGGGUCCUUGAGACCCUUGUAAACUUUGAAGUGUCAGGGAUCCAAAGGGUAUCUUGGGCAUGAACGGACUUUUACACUAAGCCUUUAAUCAAUUGACAUUUGAUAAUCUCUUUAGGUUUAGUGUUCAAUGGAAACAAAGGUUUUCACUAUAAAUUGCUUUACUAUAUAUGACUUCACAAUAAUUUUGCAUUCUUAAUUACUGUGGAUUGUUACAGUUUAUCUUGGGCCUAUAUUGGUGUUACUUAUGUUUAAAUAGUAUAUUGGGCCACAUAUCUAAUGAAUUUCUCUUUCUUUUGUACAUGUGUCUAAAUUGGGCCUGCCGAGUUCUUAAAGAACUCAGGCCCAAAUUCUUAGCCUGAACCUUGGAGUCAUUGGAGCCGUUGUUGUUUGUUUUCGCUGUCCGCUGGGCCUAGUUUCCUUCAGGCCCAAAGCAAGAGUCCAUCUAUUUUCCUCUAUCGCUUUAAUAGUUUGCUGUUGUUUGUUAUGUAUCCAACACUGACGAUAUUUGAUUAAAUGCUUUCUUUAUUUCUUUGAGUUAUAUCAACAACCUGGCAAGCUCUUAAAACAUAGGUAAAACUGAAAGUAGUAAUGAUACCUAGUAGUAAGCGAUUCGAAUUGUCGAUCACUUCUAUUUAGUUCUUAACUCUUACUAACAAUAUUUUUUUUUAAGUUUUUGAAAAUAAAGAUAGAUUUGCAAAAAGUCAACAACUUUCUCUUUUUAAAAACAAGAAGACAACUGAAGCAAACCAGAAAUGAUUUCCAAAAAAUAGCUAGCUAUUUCUGCGAAUCAAACACUGCUGCAGUUAAGGAUCUUUUAAAUGUUUUGAAUUCAAGUAUGAGGUUUAAAAUCAAAUUUCCAAGGUAUAUCUAAACCCCGUUUUCUCAAAUGGUCCUCACUUUAUACAAAUAGCCACUUUGUUUGAACGUCAAAUGUUCUUAAACUUACCCCCCCCCCCUAAUUAUUAGUAAAGCAAGUGUUAUAAACUCAUUCCUCUAAAUGUUCUUUCAAUUGUAUAGAUAUUCUUUAAGGCAUUUCCUCUUAAAUAAAGUUUACACCUUUUCAAAGCAUAUAUACUAAUUCUCUUUCAAAAUUAAUAGGUUUUAAAACAUAACAUAAGGUAAGCCACAUACCUUUAAGCACUAAUUAAGCAGAAUAUAGACAUCUAAUUUCAUAAACAUAGUCUAAAUCCUAUGGAGCUACCUCAGGUAGAUUUUAGGGGGUGCCUAACACUUUCCUCUUAGAAGAACAAGAACCCUUACCCAAAUCUCGCUAGCUAGCAGACUAAUAGGAUAAUGAUCGUAGUAAUUAAAUAGGUACCUUAAUAUACCUUUAAAUAUUAGGUGGUGAUUCUCUUUUAUCAUCGAUAUAGAAAUCACUAGUUGAAUCUUAUUUUGACUCGUGCAAAAUAGGGUGCAACAACAAGGCGACUCUACUGGGGAAACCCCUUAUGUUCUGACCUUAGCAGACUUAGACUAGACUGGAAUUUAGGAAUGUUUAUAUACUACUUUAACUGUGCUUAAUUUGCAACUAUGUGUUUACUUGUUCCUUAUGUACUUAUCAGCUUGCUUUAAUGUUAUUACUAACAUUUCACUAUCUGUUACCGCUUUAUAUAUGUUGUCAUCACACUCUUUCCUAUCGAUUCUUGGCCGUACACUAUCACACAUAAUGGAAUACGAGGGUUGUCUUUACACCCCUCCGAACCCUCUCAAAAUUCUUUAGUUUUAGAGAAUGUCUUUAUCAGGUCAACUGACAUAAUUGCUCGUAGUAGUCAGUCAAACUCAAAAUUAAGAAUCACUCUACUCUAGUAAACAUAGGUCAUAUUGCAUAAACCUUAGGUGAGUCGGUCCUUUGUAUCGACAUACAAUUAGGAAAGCCACCCUAAUGUCAAUGGCUCAUGCACCCAACGACAUGACUUUUGUGGAACGACGAACCAACCUUGAUAAGACACUAUAUAUCCGAAGCAAACACUUAUCAAACCCUUUUCUCUACCCUCUUCAGAAAUGGAAAUCAACCAGAACAUCCCCAAAAUCAAUAUGGUCAUGGGAGCACUGUCCAAGCUAAAGCAAUGGUGGAAGAACAUCCGUCAAGAGCAUGGAGACAAAAUCACGAUGCACCUUGGCGCAUUGACUGCCAUACUGAACAUCCGGGGUGAUAGGGUGCUUACCCGCCUGCUGAUAAAUUCUAGUAUCCAGCCAAAGUGGUUUUCAAGUUCGUUGACCGUGAGUUGGUCACAAUAUUGGAAGAAGUUACCAGCUUCACAGAGCUGCCAUUUAUAGGGAGGAAGCCGAUAUUUCCGGUCACCAUGCCCGGCUAUAGGUUUCUUGAUGCUUUGGGUCUAGCAAACAAUCGAGAUUUGAGAAAUAUUAAAGAUGUAUGGGUAAGCCUGAACCAAUUGGUCGACAGGUUUGGACAUCGUGAGAGCUAUGAAUGGUACUUAGGGGAGUUUCAGUGUGGUCAAGAUUCCUUGGAAGGUCUCCGACCCAUAACCUUCUCUUUGGCGCUGCUAGGACUGCUGGGUUUCCCACAAAGGAGAGGACGGAUCAAUAUCAACUUGUUGUCUGUGGUUUUGGCAACAUUCCGGGGUAACCUCCAAGCUACCUUGGUACCUAUGGUGUUAGCAGAAAUUCUCAGAGCAUUGUCUGCAUGUUCCCAGGGGUACGAUUUCUUCAAGGGCUGCAACUUGUUGCUCCAAAUAUGGGCCACAGAGCACUUCUUUGAACGAGAGGCCACAAUUGAUUACUUUGUGGGCGUUAGCAACAUGAUUCGAAGUUACAGUGAGAGUAUGAGGCAUUGGGUCUCCCCACACGGACAGGAAGAAUGGAGAGAGAUGCUGACCAACUUAAUUGGAGAGUGGAUAAACUGGAAGCUAUCGUGGCUGAGAGGCAUGGCAAUUCUAAGGACUCCUCAGAAGUAUUUCAUCGAGCUGAUAUGACUCGAGGGUAUUCAGCCAUAUGCACCCCUAUGAGUUCUCAGUCAGUUCGGUUGAUUCAGGUUGUACCUCUCUUUAUGAGGACGACACUGUAUGAAGACAAGUACAAUGGGCAGAUCCCGAUACCAAGGAUAAGGAGGCUUCAGGAGGAGUGGAAUGAUCUGAUUAUGAUGCCAAUGGGUCAAAAUUCGUGGUGCACUCCAGAAUACUAUGUAUGGAUCAAUGAAGAGGAUGAGCUGGCCCGACCAAGUAGAGAAGGAAUUGCCUGGCUGGAAGAUAGAGUGGCAGCCUUGCAAAUCUAUCAUGAGAUUCUGCCGCACUACCUUGUGACUACCUCCAUGCACCGCCAAGUGGUCCCAGGGUCAAUUGACCAUAUGCUGCCACCUCAAGAAGAUGAUGAUCGAGUGAUCGAGUAUAUACAAAUUGAAUUUGAGAUAGAACCAGAAGAUGAUCCGGAAGAGGAGUCCGAGUUUAAUGAUGAUGAAGAUGAAGAAUUUGAAGAAGAUCCAGAAGUGGAGCUGGAAUAGGAGCAAGUCUGUUGAGCCCAUGUAAUCUUAUAAAUGUUGAAAACAAUGUUGUAACCUUUGCUCCCACCUGUUACAAUCCAAAUAUUAUCAGUGAAAACCAAAUUUGCAUCGAUUCUGAAUGUGUUGAAUCUAAUUAUUUGUCAAAAUUCGCGACAUAGGCCUAACUCCGGUAAAGUGAGGUCCCUCGAACAUUAGUAAACACAUUUGCUUUAAUACGUGAACUAACAACUCUGUGCGCCCAUUAUUUGUGCAAACACUAAAACUGACUUCUGUUCUUUUUUCUUUUCUUUUCUUUUCCUUUCUUAAUCACUUUAUUAUUAUUCCCCAAAAGAAGAAGUUGGUUUGUGUUGACCCGAAAACUGGCGGAACCACCAUACAACUUGAGAAUGAAAGGGAAGAUAUCUGCGACAAAUAACUCCACCGAACAUGCUCUGGAAAUAGCUGAUAGCCUGGGGCGAUCAGGAGAAAAGGAUGAUACUCGAAAUGACGAACAUGGUGCCAGGAUGGCCCAAGGGAUGGAAUCAUUGAGGAAAAAAGUAGAACACAUUUGGGAAUUGGCACAUCUGGCCGUGACGCAGCUCCCACAACCACCCUAUUUUGCUCUAGAUUCGAUCCCCGGUCACUUUCCUUCAACUACUCGCCAAGCAAACAAUACCCCGACUUCAAUCUCCACAACCCAAAUUAUAGCCCCAAUAACACCUACAAACCCACCAAACCCUUUUAUACACACUCCUUAUGUACCAAACUAUGUUCAGACAUCGCAAGGCCCACCAAAUGCUACCAACAUAGUUCAUAAGAAUGGCGUCACCUUCACCACUAAUCAAAACUAACACAUACCUAUGGCACAUACCGCUACACACGAGCGAUAUGUUCCUCCCAUGUAUGCCAUUUCAGAACCGCUUUCGCAGGGGCCAUCAUGGUCAAGCUGCCUUAUUAAGUUGAUCAAUAUGCUGAAAUGGAAAGGGAAGCUAAGUAUAAGGAGGAAGAGCCGGUAUUCGAACAGUUGCGAGCGUUGAGGAUCUAUGUAUACACCCUGAUAUGGACAUGCCGGUAGGGUACAAGCCUCCAACGUUUGACAUCUUUGAUGGGACAGGUGAUCCCCAUGCACACUUGAGAACAUACUGCGAUAAGCUAGUGGUAGUAUGAAGGAAUGAGAAGUUGAGGAUGAAUCUAUUCAUAAGGAGUCUGACAGGGGAGGCACGCACUUGGUACACUCACCAAGAUCCCAGAAACUAGAGGGAGUGGUAGGAUAUGACAGAAGAUUUCAUGAACCAUUUUCGGUUCAACAUAGAAAUUAACCUUGAUAGGUUCGCUCUAGUAAACUUACAGAAGAAACCGUCAGAAUCAUUUCAAGAGUAUGCACGUCGAUGGAGGUAGGAGGAUGCCAGAGCAUAACUCCCGUUAGAUUAUAGUGAGUUGACUAAAUACUUCAUCAGAGCUUAGGAAGGAAUCUACUUUCAAAAAAUAAUGGGUAUAAUGGGGUAGAAGUUCCCCGAACUUGUUAAGAUGGGAAACAUUUCAGAGGAAGGCAUAAGUUCUAGCAAGGUAUAAUCUAUGGCCGCAUUGCAAGCAGCUAGCAAGGCAAUUCAAUCCGGUUCAAUAGGCAGUGGAAAGAAGAAGAAAAAAGAGGUAUCAGCAAUCGUUCCCUAUUACCAAUCAAAUCCACACAUGGAAACAACUCUUACUCUCCAAACACCCAUUCCCCACAUCCACCUACCUAUGCUCUAGUGUACAACACACAACCAUACUAUAAUCCCCAACCUCAAUAUAACCCACCUCGUGCCCAUACACAUGUAAAUCCACCAUGACCAUACGCUCUAAUUCAAACUACCACUCAUCAAAAUCGACCCACCUAUGUACCCCGACCACACCCAAAUUUUGAAGAAAGAGGUCCCAGAAACUACAGCCUGAUUGUUAAACCUUUAGCUCAACUAUUUGAAAGACUGAGGAGAGAUGACUUGAUACAGACGAUAGAAGGGAGGAUUCCUAAGCAUCCUUAAAAAUACUUUGAUGCAACCAAACGAUGCAUCUACCAUUCAGGCGUACCGGGGCAUAAUACCGAGGAUUGUUUUAGACUGAAAAAUGAAAUUGAGUCACUGAUCAAAAGUGGAGCCAUUCAGUGCACCCAACUCUGCCCAAUGUGAACCGUAACCCAUUGCCAAACCAUGAAAUCAAGGGGCUAAUGUGAUCAUCCUGGAUGAAGAGUAUGACUUGAAAGGAUACAUCGUCACAAUAGGAAAUAUUGAGGCUGCAAGGGUUCCACCCAGAAAGACUCUGAUUAUCACUGCAAAGUAAAAACCUCCAGUGAUAGUCCACACAUACCAAUAACAGUGCACCGCUACUAUCAGGGAUGAGGAGGAUUACGAAUACAAAAUAGUCCCGUGGACAUAUCAGCAGAAAAGGAAAGGCAAAUUGACAGAUUCCACAACAGCUCAUGGAAUGACUAGGUCAGGGAGAUGUUACGCUCCAGAGGAGGUAAACUGAGGGAAUCCGAGAAGGGAACAACUUCAGUGGAGGAGUAUAACAGACACGGAGGCUGUACAAUUCUGGAAGAAGAUGUCAACUAAAGAAUACUCCAUGUAGGAACAAUUGAAGAAAACCCCUGUGCAUAUAUCGAGCAUGGAUCUGCUAAUGAAUUCUAACAAUCACAAAGAUGCCUUGAUGAAAGUGUUAAUUUGAGUGAGAGUGCCGAGUAACACUACCAGCGAGGCAUUGGCGAUGACUAUUGAAUGGUCGAAGCAAACAUGAUUACCUUGCGAAGAGAUGAACUUCCCAUAGAAGGCGUGGGUCACAAUAGAGCUUUACACAUCACCGUCAAAUGUGGAGAUAAGGUGGUGUCCCGAGUACUUGUAGAUAGAGGAUCUGGAGUCAAUAUCUACCCGCUUUCUACUCUACAAGAGUUGGGUAUCCAUCCGAGAGAAGUGAAAGAAAGACAUGUGAGGGUAAGAGAUUUUGACGGGUCACAGAAGGACGUCAUUAAGGAAAUCUAUUUAGCUCUGAAAAUCAGACCAGUUGAGUUUCCUGUAUUGUUCCAAGUAAUGGACAUUUCAUCCUCAUAUAACCUGUUGUUGGGAAGGCUUUGGAUACAUGUGGCAGGGGCAGUCCCGUCUACCCUUCAUCAGUGCAUAAAGUUCGAGUAGGGUUGUCAAAAAAUUGUAGUUCACAGCGAAUGGAGUCAGUCAGCUUCUCUGGAACAUGUAGUUCCAUUCAUAGAAGGAUUAGACGGGGUCGCUUUUCAUGCGGUUGAGAUCAUGUAGACCAUGGAAAUAGAGGAGACCGAGUAAAAUCUGGGUAUGCAGUCACCAAACAGAUCAAAGAUGGCUAUGAGAGAAAUGAUGAAAUACGGGUACCGAUAAGGGACCGGGCUCGGAGCCCGAUCAGAUGGGAUAACAGAGCCAAUUGAGCCAAGGGGGCAGAAAGGUAGAGCCGACAUAGGGUAUUAGCCUCCAACUAGAAAGACUUAUACCAAUGGUUUCGGGAAGAAAGCUUUUGUGCCAGAGCGUGUUCCGGGUCCGGGUCAAAGCUCAACACUAGAGGACGACAUCGUCGAUGGGAUGUGAAGGCUGUUCGUGACCAUGAUCAAAGAAUGAUGCGACAAAGUUGAAAUCAAGACACUAACCACUCAGAAUGCCAAACCAGGAAAGGACUUGCAGAAUUGGACCGCCAGCCUGCCUUUGGUUCACAGGAGUCUUGGUAGUGUGUAAUUGUAAAAUAUUUUGUAAAAAACUGCAUGGUCAAUUGAGUCUUGAACCGUUCCAUAACUCUUUUGUCAAUUGCCUCCUUGAAACCGGUGUUUCGCGAUUAUGACAACCGAUAAAAAUGAUAAAAACCGGCGUUCCGCAAUUAUGACAUGUAACAAAACCCUCGAGCAAAGUAUUCUAGAUUAUGAAGAAUACGACGAAAGCAUGAUGGUAGAUAAUCUCCCAUAAGAGAUCGAACAGUUGGAAAGCCAGGAAAAGCCUAACCUUGAAGAGAUAGAAGUAGUAAACCUGGGAAGCGAAGAAGACGUGAAAGAAACUCGUAUCAUCAUCCAUUUAGAAGUAGAGCAGAAAGAAGAAUUGGUCGAGCUCCUCCGAUAGUACAUCGAUGUAUUGGCAUGGUCGUAUGAUGACAUGCCUGGAUUAAGCACCAACAUCAUUUCGCAUUGAUUGCCUACCUAUCCUGCCAGACCACCAGUCAAACAAAAACCCAGAAAGUUCAAGCCAAAUUUGAGUUUGAGGAUAAAAGAAUAAGUAACCAAGCAGAUAAAGACAAACGUAGUGAGAGUCACCAAUUAUCCCACGUGGUUGGCAAAUAUUGUACCGGUACCAAAGAAUAAUGGGAAGAUCAGGAUAUGUGUGAAUUAUCGAGAUCUCAACAAGGCCAGUCAAAGGAUGAUUUCCUUUUACCAACCAUUCAUAUCCUCAUUGACAACUGUGCGAAGUAUGAGCUGCAGUCAUUCGUGGAUUGUUUUACCAGGUACCAUAAGAUCCUGAUGCAUGAAGAAGAUGCAGAGAAGAUAGCAUUCACUAUACCUUAGGGAGUUUAUUACUGCAGAGUCAUGCCAUUCAGCCUCAAGAACGCUGGUGCUACUUACAUGAGGGCCAUGAUAACCCUCUUUCAUGACACGAUCGACAAAGAGAUCGAGGUAUAUAUGGAUGAUGUCAUUAUCAAAUUUCGAAAGAGUGCAAAACAUUUUGACGGCCUGAAGAAGUUUUUUGAAUGCUUGUGGAGGUAUAGUUUGAAGUUGAAUCCUGUAAAAUGUGCAUUCAUAGUCCCUACCGGAAAAUUACUAGGUUUCAUCGUAAGCAGGAAAUGGAUAGAAUUUGAUCCUUUAAAGAUUAAAGCCAUUCGAGACUUGCCGCUGCCUAAAAUCAAGAAGGAUGUGAUGAGUUUCCUUGGUAGGCUAAAUUACAUCAGCCGAUUCAUAGCCCAAUCCAUGGUAAUUUAUGAGCCUAUCUUCAAGCUGCUGAAAAAGAAUACCACUACAAAGUGGACAGAAGAGUGUCAAAAAGCCUUCAACAGGAUCAAGGAGUACUUGUCAAAUCCACUAGUGUUGGUUCUUCCUGAUCCCGAGAAGUCGUUGUUGUUAUACAUAUCAGUUCUGGAUAAUGCAUUUGGAUGCGUGUUGGGACAACUCGAUGAGACCGGGAGAAAAGAGCAAGCUAUCUACUACUUAAGUAAGAAGUUUACACCAUGUGAAUCCAAAUACACUCCAAAUACACCUGUUGUGCUUUGACUUGGAUAGCCCAGAUGUGAAGGCACUACAUGCCAGCAUACACCACACAUUUAAUAUCCCGGCUCGACCCGCUAAAGUAUAUCUUUCAGAAGCCGAUGCCUACAGGAAAAUUGGCCAAGUGGCAGAUUCUUCUUAGCGAAUUUGACAUUGUGUACGUAAUGUAGAAGGCCAUCAAAGGACAAACCUUAGCCAACCACCUUACAGAGAAUACAAUGGACAAGGAUUACGAGUCGCUCACUACAUACUUUCUGGAUGAAGAAGUGUUGUUUGUCGGAGAAGACAUUGUAGAUUCAUACACAGGAUGGAGAAUGUUCUUCGAUGGAGCGGCAAAUUUUAAAGGAGUAGGAAUUGGGGCAGUCUUAAUUUCAGAAUCAGGACAACAUUAUCCGGCAUCAGAAAAGAUAAGGUUCCCAUGCACCAAUAUAUGGCUGAGUAUGAAGCAUGCAUCCUCAGGAUUAGUAUGGCAGUUGACAUAAACAUCAAGAAGCUUCUGGUCAUACGAGAUUCUGAUAUGCUAAUACAUCAAGUUCAAGGAGAAUGGACUACCAAGAACGUCAAGAUCCUUUCGUACAUGCACUGUGUAAAAGAACUAUGCAAGAAGUUCACAAAGAUCGAGUUCAAGCACAUUCCCAGGAUCCAGAACGAGUUUGCCAAUGCUCUCGCUACCUUGUCAUCCAUGGUCCAGCAUCUAGAUAAGAAUUACAUUGACCCAACUGAGAUAGAGAUCAGGGAUUAGCAUGCGUACUUUUUCCAUGUAGAUGAAGAGCCAGAUGGUAAGCCGUGGUACCACGAAUCAAAAGGUUCCUUGAAACAAGAGAGUAUCUAGAGAGCGCCACCAAUGUUCAGAAGCGAGCACUCAGAAGGCUAGCAAAUCACUGUUUCCUCAGCAGGGAAGUCAUGUAUAGGAGGACCCCAGACUUGGGUUUGUUAAGAUGUAUAGAUGUUGUUGAAACAACCAGACUGCUAGAAGAAAUACAUGCACGGACAUGCAGACCCCACAUGACCAACUUCACCUUAGCAAAGAAGAUUUUAAGAGCCUGAUAUUUUUGAAUGACCAUGGAAAGCGAUAGUAUCCGCUAUGUGCAUAAGUGUCACCAGUGACAGAUCCACGAGGAUUUCAUCCGGGUUCCAUCUAAUGAAUUGAAUGUAAUGGGUUCGCCAUGGCCAUCUGCUGCUUGGGGCAUGGACAUAAUCGGACCUGUAGAGCUUUCUGCAUAAAAUGGACACCAUUUUAUCUUGGUAACAAUUGAUAAGAAGAGAAUGGACGCAGUAUGCCAUGGUCAGCUGUGUCAAAAUAGGAUGUCCAGUGCAUUCAACAAAAGGGUGAAACCUCAGCAAUUUAUACUAGGGCAGCUGGUUUUGAAGAAAAUAUUCCAUCAUCAAGAAGAAGCCAAAGGAAAGUUUGCGCUAAAUUGGCAAGGUCCUUACGUGGUCCACCGAGUGUUGUUGGGAGGAGCUCUGAUCUUGGUAUAGAUAGAUGUAAGAGUCAGCACGAAGCCUAUCAACUUAGAUGCAAUCAGGAGAUACUACAUUUGAAGAUAGUAAAGUUAGGGUUUGGUUGUAACAGAACUACGCCCGACCUGACUUCCCACGGAGGGAUACGUAGGCAACCCACGUAAGGUUCGGUCUUUCUCCCCCUCUUCUUUUGUAAUAGGAAAUCCAAAUAUUAUUUUGUAUGUAUUCAGAACCAUGCCAUGACUUGAUUUCCUUUGGAAGGAAUACGUAGGCAAUCCUCAUCAGAUUCAUUCAUCUUUUGUAAUAUGUUAUGGUCUUAUUCCAUUUGGAUACAUAGGCAGUCUGAGUCAGACUCGACCACUUCAUUUUCAAUUUCAUCUUUUUACACAUAUUGUAAUCGAACUACGUAUUGACUUGAUUCCAUUUUGAUACGUAGGCUGACUGAGUCAUGCUCGGUCAUCAUCAUAUUUUCUUUAUCGUUACCCACGAACUAUGUUCAGACGUGAUUCCAUUUCGAAUAUGUAGGCAACCUGAAAAGGUUCGGUCACAACCCUAGGAAAACCUUUGUAAUGCGUUAGUUUAGAUUAGGAUGCAAUCGCAGCGGCAAGAAGCUACGUCAUCGGAUGCAUCUCCAGGGAUUGAAAUCAACGUGAUAGGAUUUUUCGGAAACAACGUCCGCGUCUGUUGAAAUUCCUAAUCUUGUAUUAAUAAGGAACAACGAGAUUUGCCAUAAGAUAAACGAUUUUCAAAAUGUUUUCUAAAAAACUACCAUUCCACCUACCGAACAUCAUGGCAUAACCUCAUCAAGCUCGGGGCAAGGCCAGGAUUACAGUCGACAUAAACCAACAACCCCAUGCUAAGAAUUGUUUAUUGAAUGCAGGACCAACAUGAUACAAGGAAACAUUGGAGCAUACUAGGGCAAUGAUCGCGCCCAACUUUGCCUUAUAAAAAGGACAAGUAGUCGUCGCAAAUAUAUUUCGUCUAAUAAGUCCGGAGUCGAAUCCCACAGGGAAUUAACCUAUCAACCACAUCUGCUAGACCUGCACAAAUUCACGCAAUCAAUCUUCAGAAAUAUUUGAAUAAUAAUUUGGAUGUUUAUUAACUAAAUAUUACGUAAUGAAAAUGCACUAACAAAUGACUAACUACGAACGGUUUGUAAACAAGAAUUGGAAAGAUCUAAGGUUGUGAUUUCCCCUAUUGUCGGAAUCUUUUCCGCUACGUUUUCUGUAAAUUCGCCUAAGUUUUCUCUAUCGAUCAUGAGCACUAUGAAUGUCGUAACUCUCUCCCGAGUAAUUACCACAAGUUACUAGACAUAUUCUCCCGAAUUAUGCUACUUGGCAUUAAGUAUGGCUCACUCAGAAUUCACCAAGGUUUCGUUAUCCGUAAUCCCACCUUUAAACCCUUCGUAUUGAUCUCUCAUAUACGUUAGGAGUGAUGUUGUUCAACAACUACCUAAAUAUGCACUCUCUCCCGAGUAAUACAUACUAAAUAGGCUUAGCUAAUUGAGGGCCCUUCAAUCAACCACAUGAACAAUAUAAUUGAACAAAUAGAGAAAAUACUACGGCAAAUUUAUAUUAACGUAACAAGAAAAUCAUCCUUCAAUAGGUUCCAUCAAAACCCUAGAUUAGGAAUUUAGCUAAUCGUACUCAUAGUAACAAUAUCCCAAAUAUUUUUCAUAAUUAAAGUACAGAGUAAAGAUUAAAGGAUGUAGAAAUCGAUGAUUCUAACUCCCAACGGGUGAUUCCACAAGCUAUUCUUGCCUCCGGUUGUAAAAGUCCUCCAAAGUGGCAUUUUUAGGUCUAUUUAUAUGUGUAGGAAAAGACCUAAAUAUGUAGGCAAAGUCCUAGUCAAACCCAGAGAUGAAAUAAGUCUUCAAAACUCGGACUGUGCAUGCCCAGACCUGGCCUCUCGAGGCCUAAUGCCUGGUAGACCUCACCCCAGGUCUGGCGUCGCCAGGUAUAAAACCUGGUAAAUCACACUUCUGCCUCGCCUCGCCAGGUCUAUCGCCCACUACAUGCUUGGCAUCGCGAGGUAUAAGGCCUGCUCUAGGCCUGGCUUCGCUAGGUAUAACGCUUGGUGUAGGCCUGGCUUCGCCAGCUUCUCCUUUUCAACUGCACCCAAGCACGCUUUCGACUUUUAAGUAUCCCUUUUUCUCUACUUUCAUCUCCAAUUCACCUACACAUAAAAUGGCCUUCAUUACGAGCAAAGAAAGUGUAAUUUAUCAUUAAAGCAUAUAAAAUGCAAGGCGAAUAGUGUGCUAAACCAUGAAUUAUAGCCACACAUCAAUACCCCACACUUAAACAUUGCUCAUCCUCGAGCAAUCAGACCACACUUACAGACACAACCUCACUAAGAAAUUCCGUUAACUCCUUGCACCAAGAAUAUUUAAAAUAGUCUAAGCACCACUGUGUAACAUCCUUGCCUCAAGAUUUGACUCACAUACCAUGACUUAUUCACAAAUCACUUACUUACNNNNNNNNNNNNNNNNNNNNNNNNNAUAUAUAUAUAUUUAUUUUUUUCUCUUAAUCCAAGUGGAUUUUAUCGACAUUCUUUUUUCUUUUCUUUUUUUCCUUUCAAACAGUACACCUUUCUUCUUAUUUUAAUUGUUCCACUCAAAAGCUAAUCCACCACCCCGCACUUUAACUUUUUCAUAGUUUAUCACAAUUCAAGUGCUCGUGAGAGGUGACAAGGUUCAAAUAUUUGGUCGAUUCAAACAAAGGGGUACGACUUGUAAUGUGGUUACCAAAGAAACAUGAUUAUAGGCUCAAAGGGGUUAACUACGAUACAUAACUUUUAGGAAGGUAAAGUAUAUAUAUCUGGCUUAACAAAGAAAUGCCUAUAUCACUUCUCAGUCUGAACAAGACUACUAUUUCGCUUUGCAGACACACACGGCAAGUUCUAGACAUCAAAUGCAAUGCACAGAAUACAUACAAAACUCACACAGACAUGGCACAUAACUCACUCAGGAUUGGUUUCAUCGCGACACUCCAAUCAAAGCAGUUAAGCAAAAUUAGGAAUCUACGAUUUAAGGUACUAAUGCUAGAGUCAAAACCCGAGCCUAAGUGUCACGACCAUAGUACUAACUAUUCUCGAGGCAUAACAAAGCUAAGAGAUAUUGCUACAAUUAAAUGCGUAGCGUCAUGGUUCCUAAUCCUAAAAAUUAAAACUAACUACAUCCGGUUCAACUAAAAGCCCUUGGAAAAGAACCGCGGCCCAAAGAAAAACCAAGGGGGAAUUACUACACUACCUAAAAAAAAUCUAUUUUUGGUGUUUUUCUCUAGACUUACUUCCCUCAAGAAAACUGUCUAGGAGAUCCAUCAUCGGGAAGAGUCCAGUUAUUUUUUUUUACAGCUAAACAAAUAACAAAAACAAAUCACUAAACCAAAUUCUUAAAACAAAUAACUAAAACAAUUAUCUAACGAAAAUGACACUUACUAAAACAACAAAACAACAACUACAAGUAAUUUCUACAAAUCCCUACCCCACACUUAGAUCAUGCAUUAUCCUCAGUGCAUGCACAAAUUGACAAAACAAGACAAAUGAGUAGGGUGCAAGGAAACUCCCUGAUCAAAUUGCGUCCUUCUCCUCUCAGGCUCUCCACUCUUCAUCAUGUGCUUCCUCCUCAUCAUCAUCAUCGUCCUCCUCAUGUGACUACUCUGGCUCGACCUCAGACUACUCAGGAGUAUCCUCAUCGUCGGGGAGUCUGUAGCCAUCACCUAUCCCAACUAGCUGUUGGGCAGGAGCAUUGAGCGGGUACCGCUGCUCCAAUAAGGUCCUCUCCUCAGAUGUGGCUGGCCGACCCCCUAUCCUCAGCUGCAAAUCCAUCAUCCCAUAGAGAUGGGCCAUAAAACUAUCAUCCCAAGCAUUGCGCUCGGUACCUAUCAAAGAUGUCACGGUAGUCUCUUCUUUCAGCAGGAGACUAGUGAUGUUCGUUUGUCGUAGAGGCUGAUCGAUGGUGUGGUCAAACUCUGGCUCCUCCUCAACCUCCUCGUGUCUUAAGUACUGAGUUAGAAAAUUGGCAAAUGGCAUUCGAUCGACCUUUUUACUCGUUCUGACUAAAGACAUUUGGUAGCGGAUCAAAUGACCCACAUUUACCCUUUGACUCGUCAUGAGGAAGUAGAGCGCAUAGGUCCUCUCACGGAUAAUGAGAGUGUAAUGAUUGCAAGGUAGGAGUUAUCAGUUUAAGCCACACUUGAGCCUCCGCCCUCAUCUUCUUCUUGGGGAACCUCUUGUGCUGAUUAGUUUCUUAUCCCGGACCCAUGCUACCGUAGAAUCGAUACCACAAAGCGUGUGUCUCAGCUCUCUAUAUGUAGGUCGGCAAAUGAAGUGGUCCAAUGGCACCACAGAAACAUUCGGAGCACCUAAAAGGUUACAUAUGGCCGUGGCUGAAAAAUCUAUCAAUCGCCCAUGAAUCGGUACCAGUUGUUCAGUACUCUACGGAUCAAACCCUGCAUAGAAUUCUCAAACUAAGUUGAGAUUAAUAUCCCAUGUGUUCUUUAAUACAUAGCUCAACCCCAUAUCCUGAAGCCCCUCCAAAUUUCCUAAUACUUUGCUUUCAAGCUGCGUUCGUGGAUAGCUGCUUCCGGGUGUACAUGUUUAGGCCUACAGUGCCUGUACCAAUCCUUUGUAUGCGGUGGUAUGCUGUUGAUGCCAAACUACCAUUGGCCUAGUGUGCAUCUUUGAACAAUGUCAGCCAGUAGAAGCCCGACUCCAAGACUUUCGCAGCUGUCCUUACUCCCCCGAAAUGGCCACCAUAUGGUGACGUGUGACACGCCUACAAAAUAGAAGAUUGGUCCAUCUGGGGGAUACACCUUCGGAUCAUGUUAUCAACACAAAUCCUGAACAGAUAAGGCUUAUCCCAAUAAUACAUGCGACAGUCGUGAAAGAACUUUUUCUUUUGAACAGAAGAAAAGUCAUAUGGGACAAUACCGCUUGCCAGGUAGUUUGCAAUGUCUGCAUACCAUAACGCUACCUCAAGACUCGCAGCUAGUAGUUGUUCAUCUGGGAAGGUCUCCAUAAUCUCUUCCACUUCAACCUUUUUCUCGGCUCCUUCCAGCCAGGACAAGUUAUCAGCCACUUGGUUCUUCGCUCCCUUUCGGUCACUAAUUUCCAAGUCAAAUUCUUGCACUAGUAGCACCUAUCGAACCAGGCAUGUCUUUGAAUCCUUCUUAUCAAUUAAGUACUUGAGAGCAGCAUGGUCAGUAUAAAUAAUUACCUUAGAGCCUAUCAGGUAUGACCUGAAUUUGUCAAAUGUGAACACCACUGCUAGCAUCUCCUUCUCGGUCACUGUGUAAUUUAGUUGGGCACCACUCAAAGUUCUACUAGCGUAAUAUAUUGGAUGCAUGACUUUGUCUUUGCACUAUCCAAGCACUGCUCCCACAGCAUAGUCAUUUGCGUCACACAUCAGCUCAAACGGUUGCUCCCAGUCAGGUGCAACUAUGAUGGGUGAUGUCACUAGCCUCUUCUUCAAUUCCUCAAAAGCUACCAUGCAAUCAUCAUAAAACACAAAAAGGUGAUCUUUUUCAAGCAAUUUACACAAGGGGUUAGCAAUUUUGGAAAAAACUUUUAUAAAUCUUCUAUAGAAGCCGGCGUGGCCCGGGAAACUUCUAAUUGCUUUGACGGAAGUGGGUGGUGGAAGCUUUUUGAUCACAUCAACUUUGGCACGAUCUACGUCAAUGCCCUUACUCAACACUAGGUGCCCCAAGACUAUACCUUCAUGAACCAUGAAAUGGCACUUUUCCCAGUUGAGUACCAUUUUUGUCUCGACACAUCUUUUCAGCACUCUUUUCAAAUUCCUUAGGCAAUCAUCGAAUGAGUCUCCCACUAUCGAGAAAUCAUCCAUAAAGACCUCUAUGAUGUCCUCAACAAUAUCAGUGAAGAUGGCCAUCAUGCACCUUUGAAAUGUGGUGGGUGCAUUGCAUAGACCGAACGACAUCCUCCGAAAGGCGUAGAUGCCAUAUGGACAAGUGAAUGAUGUUUUCUCUCUAUCUUCCGGAGCAAUGGAGAUUUUAUUAUACCCCGAGUAUCCAUCUAGAAAGCAAAAGUGGGACUUCCCUGCCAAUCUAUCUAGCAUUUGAUCAAUGAACGACAAGGGAAAUGGUCUUUUCGGGUGGCUUUGUUCAAUAUUCUGUAGUCCAUACAAAUUCGCCAUCCCGUGACUGUUCUUGUUGAUAUCAACUCAUUUUUCUCAUUUUGCAUUACAGUCAUCCCACCUUUCUUAGGCACACAUUGGACUGGGCUGAUCCAGUUGCUGUCGGAGAUGGGGAAGAUGAUUCCCGCAUCUAACCACUUUAUCACCUCCUUUUUCACAACUUCCUUCAUUUUGGGGUUCAGCCUUCUUUGAUGUUCUCUGGAAGGUUUGUGGCCAUCUUCCAGUAGAAUUUUAUGCAUAUAGAAGGCCGGGCUGAUACCCUUAAUGUCUGCGAUGGUCCAACCAAUUGCAGUUUUGCACUCACUCAAUACCUGCAAAAGCUAUUCUUUCUGCACAUCUAACAAACCAGAUGAGAUAUUAAUAAGUAAAGUUGAGCUAGGUCCCAAGAAAGCAUACAUGAGGUGAGGUGGUAGCGGCUUUAGCUCCAACUUUGGUGGCUCUUCUAACAAUGGCUUAGCUGGAGGAAUAUUUCUUUCUUCUAAGUGCAAAGGCUCAAAUUCGAGCUCCCUUUUCCAAAACCCUUGGCCUUCAAGAGCCAGUACCCAUUCCGCCAAAUCCUCUCUAUUUAAUUCAUCUAAGUUCAUGAGACAAGCCGCUAGAGGGUCUUUAGCAUUCAAGGUUUCAUCUUCCUCCUCUAAAAUUACAUCCACGGCUUCUAUUAUAGAGCAGUUAGCAAAUUCACUUGGUCGCCGCAUAGAUUUCUGCACGUUGAAUGUUAUUUAUUCAUCAUUUAGUCUCAUUUUUAGCUCUCCAGUCAAUUAAAGCUCUCUCAGUGGCCAAGAAUGGUCUUCCCAAAAUUAUGGGAAUCUCCUCGUCAACCUGGCAGUCUUGAAUGACAAAAUCUGCUGAGAACACAAACUUCCCAACCUGUACUAAUACAUAAUCAAGGAUACCAGAGGGCUUCUUCACUGUCCUGUCGGCCAGCUGUAGUAACAUGGACGUGGGUCUAGCUCUUCCAAUGCCUAGCCUUUUAUAGAUAGCCAAGGGUAUCAAGUUUAUGCUUUCCCCCAAAUCACAAAGUGCCUUAUCAAAUGCAUAGUUGCCAAUUGUGCAUGGGAUUGUGAACUUCCUGGAUCAGAUAACUUCUCAGCUAUGGGUCUCGUCACAACAUCACUACAUGUCUGAGUCAGUGUAACUGUGGCCAAGUCUUGAAAGUCAAACUUACGAGACAUCAAGUCCUUCAUCACUUUUGCAUAACCAAGCAUUUCCUUUAAGGCGUCAAUCAAUGGAAUGUUAACCUGAAUUUGUUUCAACAUCUCCAAGAAUUUCUUAUAUUGCUCAUCUUUUUGAUAUUUUGCCAAUCUCUGGGGGAAAGGUGCUGGAGGCCACUUCUUUCCUGUGAUUUGAUUUUGAACCUGCUCAUGCACUGCUUCUACUGACGUUUCUUGUGCUACCUCAGUCUCCUUCGCAACCUCUUUUUCUUUGCUUGUGCUCUCUUGUGCAUGUUGUACCGUCACCUCUAUCAACCCUGUUGAAUCAUCUAUCUCAAUGGGUACUGGCACAAGUGUUUGAGUAGGUCGACUUUCAUGAGCCAUCUCUUGCUCCAGAUCUAGGUCUCUACCAUUUCGUAGACUCACUGCCAUAAGCUGUUUCAGGCCCUGUUCUUUUGGAUUGAAUUGUGUGUCUGCAGGUAACGCCCCUUGGGGACGAUUGUUUAGAGCCAUAAAAAAUGUCCUAAUUGAAUCUCAAUACCCUUUAUCGCUGAUUCAUGUGAGUCUACUCUCUGUUGCAUUUUUCUCGUGGACCCAAUCAGUUGUUGCAGCAUUCUCUUAAGUUCAGUGAAACCAUCAUCUUGUCUCAUAAUUUGUUGUUGUUGAGGUUGUUGAUAAGUCAGCUGCUGGUUUUGCUGAUUGUAACCCUGUUGCCUUUGGUAAGGCACAACUUGACUCAGUGGUCGCAUAGCUCCGGGAUUAUUGUUGUUAUUGUACUGCUACUGCGCUGGUCUAUAUUGUUGAUUCUGUUGACCCCAAUUCUGACCACCUUGCCUAUGUCCCCCAUAGUUGGCUACAUAAUUCAUAUCUUCUUGAUAGUGCUGGUUGUCACCUUCUGCACUCCACGAGCAAACAUAUGGUUGAUUAAUGCAUGGUGUACAUAAGCCCUCAUUAGUUGCGAAUUAAAGUACAGAGUAAAGAUGAAAGGAUGCAGAAAUCGAUGAUUCUAACUCCCAACGGGUGAUUCCACAAGCUAUUCUUGCCUCCGGUUGCAAAAGUCCUCCAAAGUGGCAUUUUUAGGUCUAUUUAUAUGUGUAGGAAAAGAACUAAAUGUGUAGGCAAAGUUCAAGUCAAACCCGGAGAGGAAAUAAGUCUUCAAAACUCGGACUGUGUGCACCCAUACCUAGCCUCGCGAGGCCUAAUGCCUGGUAGACCUCACCCCAGGCCUGGCGUCGCCAGGUAUAGAUCCUGGUCAAUCUCGCUUCUACCUCGCCUCGCCAGGUCUAUCGCCAGCUACAUGCCUGGCGUCACCAGGUAUAAGGCCUGCUCUAGGCCUGGCUUCGCCAGGUAUAACGCCUGGUGUAGGCCUAGCUUCGCCAGCUUCUCCUUUUCAACUGCUCCCGAGCACGCUUUCGACUUUUAAGUAUACCUUUUUCUCUACUUUCAUCUUCAAUUCACCUACACAUAAAAUGGCCUUCAUUACGAGCAAAUAAAGUGUAAUUUAUCAUUAAAGCGUAUAAAAUGCAAGGCGAAUAGUGUGCUAAACCAUGAAUUAUAGCCACACAUCAGGCAAUGACAGAUCUGCUACUCUCUCAUAACUAUCAUCUCUCUUUCAAUAUUCAAAAUUUUCCUCAUAUAGCUAAAAACUAACACUCAAAUCCUGUGAAGGUAUUUCGCAGCCAGGCUGCUGAUGCAAGCUGAGCAUAUUGUAAAUAGCAAACCAUCUUUUCAACCGAGCGAAGCAUGUUGUACAUAGCGGGCAGCAGGCCCAGCCAACCGGGGCCAUGUAUAUAGCAAAUCGUCAGCUCAAUCAAUCGGAGCGCCUUGUACAAAUCAAGCCGUCGGCUUUGCCAAUCAAAACCCUGCAUAUAGAAAACUGUUCACUUUGCCAACGGGAGCAUUCCACACUGCCACUCCACCACAUCGGAGAUUACAAGUAGAUAGCCGCAAACCUUGUCACCAAUGUUCUGUCGAUCGACAGCCACAAUUUAGUUUCGCGGUCAAGAAUAUCUCUUUGGCAUGCACCUUAUUUCUUUAUUUUUUUCUCGAAUGUUUUGACGUUUUGUUCAUGCAACUUACAUGCAUGACUACAUUUUCAAAUAAGAAACUCCCAUCGUACGGAGGUACUUUACAUUUCAAUGCAACUACUCCCAUCCCGCUAAGAUACAUUCUAAAUUUCAACACAACUACUCCCAUCACAUAGACACAUUCUACAUUACAAGUCAACUACACCCAUCGCACGGAGAUACUCCCAACAUAAGGAGGAUUAAUGUACCGAUAGCUGCAAAACGGUACACAGCCCGGCUAACAAUCUAGUUAAGUUCAAGUAUCCCGUCGUCCCAACCCCAAAUAACGGCUAGCCGGCAGCCAGGCAUCAUCAUUCCUGCAUUAUUUACAUCAUAUCUUAACAUAUCUGCAUUAUGAUAUAUGGGUAUGUGUGUAUUUUAUUUUUGCAGUAAUAGACAUCGCAAGGUGGAACUUCUUCUAAGCAGCAAACAAAGCUACAAUGCUAUGAGGGUCAACAAACUCAUAAGCGGGCCAAAGAUCUGAACUCAAACUCAAAAACGAUCAGUGGAUCUCUAAUUCUUCAAGUCAUUCAAAUCAAGCCACAAUUCAAGAGUUAUCAUGGGUACCAAAUCUUAUGUCUCGCAGUAUUGUCAUAAUACGAUACUGGGGCAAUUCCUGCGAGCAUCGCCUCCUUCAAAUCAUCACUCUAGAACUACAUGAGGCCUGAUCCUCGUUAAGCCCGAGGUAUGUAAGCAAUUCAAACCCAAAAUUCGGCCCCAACUCUACAAAAUUCUCCUGGAAUCUUCCUUAACUCCUAAUUCUACAACUCAUAAUCUUCCUUAAAUCUGUAUGCCAUUCCUGUAAUGUAUGCCUAAAGUAGGGACAAAAUUGGCCUUGGUUCAAUUUAUCGUCCCCGGUCAAAGAUGGGCAGCUGUUGACGACCAAUUUUGACCCUCAUUUUAAAAAUUUAUUUUUAUUUACACUUAUUAAUUUCCAAUAAAUAUGUUAAAGAUAUUUUCUGAUUAAUAUUACCUAUAAUUAAUUAAUUAAUGGUGUCAAAUUAAUAAUUUAUUAUUAUAAUUACAAAUAUACCACUCUUACAAUUUUUGAAACAAUUAAAGUAACUUUUACAUUGGUUUAUAAUUAAUUUAACAAGGUUAUUCUUAAUAUUGGUAAAAUAGCCUACUAUUUCAAAAUAAACCCUUAAUUAGUACCAAAAAUACAAAAUAGGAUAUUUAGUAAUUAAUUAGAUAAUUAUAGUAAUUGGUAGUGUAUUUGAUGAUUUUAAUUUUUAUUAAAUUUUAUUAAAAUUAUUUAAUUUUAAUUAAAUUAAUUAUAAAAGGGUUAAAGACCGAAAUGGCUACAAUUGGAAAUACCUAAUUAAAUACAAUGUGGUUAUCUAUUAAAUUAUUUUUAGCCCAAUAUCCAAGCCGAAACAAAUAUGAUCCAAUCAAAAACAAUCCCAUCAUAUACACCUUGGCAAUCCUUUCCACUCUCACUGAACUAGUCUGAACUUUCCACGUCUCCCUUCCACACCACUCAUAAAAGUAGCACAAUCAAUCUCAGUCGCCCAUCCCUCAGAUCAACGACCCGUGUUUAUCCUCGUUUUUCCCUUUAAUUUUAAUACUACAUCAGAUUCAAUCUUAACCGUCCAAAUCCAACAAUCCAAUGGUUAUCAUAUUACACUAAUUUAAUUAUUUAAUCCCUAAUUUAUCAGUGUCGUUGAUCUAAAGAUCCAAUGGCCCAGAUCUCUCCAACCCGUUUAAACCUCUAGAGACAACCCAAGCCCCUCAAACCCUAAUCAUUCGUCUCUAAGACUCGGCUGCCCCCUUUUCCCCCUUCUCUAUCAUUUUCUCUCAACUCACCAGACCCCAUCAAUCAAAGAACCUUGCACAAAUUAGUGCAAGGUCAUAAUCAUGACCAGAAAUCAUCCCCUUUGUCCUCCUUAUCCACGAUUCUCGCUGAAUCUUUGCUCGUUUCAUUUAGGAGAGUUAAAUUCCCCAAAUCCAAAACCCUAGACCAAACGAUGCAAUGUCAAGUCUUCAGAGAUCCUUCUAUAUUUUGUAAAAUUCGUGGCAUGCAUGAAUGUUUCUCAGUGUUAUCAUGAUUAUUCUUAGUCCAGAGGUCAAGAAAAGUGAUCUCUAGGCAUUGAGUCUCUUACCCGAUAGUUCUUGCCUUCAACGGUCAACUCCCCCCUCUCACGUAAUAAUUCUCGCUGAUUUUCCUCUGUCUUCUUAGAUUUUCACCUGAUUAUGCUCACAUCACCAGCUCUCUGUCGCCUUCCACUACCAGUUUGAAUCUUGUUAAACCCUAGAGACAUUUUAAUGCCACUAUAAAUCAGGGCUUUAAUGCUUUCACCUAAAAGUAGAAGGGACAUACGAAAUCACUUAACAAACAAAGAAAUAUCAAUUUCUAAUCGUGAGUAGCAAAAAUCAAGUUAGAGUUUUCUAACUAGUUUCUGAUUCUUUCCGAUUCUAUGCACUACACUGGUCGGAGUUUGAGUGUCUGAUUCUUAACGACUGAGAAAGACUCUUGUUUGGUUUGCUGCCCAAAAAAGGUCAGUGAACUUCAACCUUUCUUCUCUUUUAAUCAUUUAAUUGAAAGCAUGUUUGUUCUGUUAUCUUUUGUUAAAUGGCUCUAUCUCUAAUACGUUAUGGUUGAUUAUCUCUAUAUGUCGUCAUUAACCCAUAACUGAUCAGUGAUCUCUAGAAUUAUAAGCUUCUUAAUAUUCUGAAAUCAGAGUCACGUACUAAUUAGUUAUUCUAGUAAUCUUAAUGAGCAUAUCAUUGGAUAACUUUUAUAUAUAUAUAUAUUGUCAAGCUUCUGAGAAUAACAAAAGAACUUUCAAAUUAUUUUAAUAGUUGUCUUAAUAUUAUGGUGUUCUGUUGUAGCUCUCAUGUGAGCUAUAUUAGUUUGCCUUAGUAUUAUUAGUAUUAUUCACUUGAUACCUGUCCUAAGUGGAUAUGUACACAUGAUGUUAAGUACGGAGUUGUCAUUUAAUCUAAGCAAAGCAGUUUAUAAUGCUUGAAUGGUUUUCUUCUUUAAUGUGCUCUUCUGUAAUUCUGUAACUCUAGAAAAUUGGUGUAAGAACCAUCUGUCAACUCCCAUAAUUGUUUGAUCACAUAUGUGAGCUUUACUGUAUGAGAUAAUGUCUUAAAGUAACUAGAUUAAGCUCUAAUGGACCUCUGAAUUUUGUCUGCUGCUUUCUACUUAGUUUAAGUCAUAUCUAGAAACCUGAUUGAAAUUGCACCUACUAUACUUGAAUUCCAUCUGAUUGAAUCAAGUUUUUUAGAACUUCAUCAUGAUAGACUAAUCUACUUAGCUUAUAACUGAAGCAUGCUUACCCGGUAUAAACUUUCACUAUUCUGGACCACUAUAAUGACAAUGUUAGUCUAAUCCCAUGUUGUUUGGUACUCAAUCAAAUUGUAUGUUAUAGUUUGGUUAGAAUGUAACAUGUACAUAUUUGAAUGUCAUCCAUCGAAAGUUAUGUACUCAUCUCUGUCUCAUAAGGGAACUGUUGCUUGUAUAUCAUGUUUGUGACUGUGUUUCCAUAUCAUUGAAACCUACAAAGUUUACUACAGUUUACCCACGGACUUAGGAGAGGACCUUUGAUAUUUAUCUACCCUAUUUGAAUGUAGGACUGUAUAUUUAACUCUUAACCAACCUGGAUGGAAUAAAAAAUCUCUUUAGAGGUCACUUGUUAAUGUAUUUUUCUGCCCCUGUCUCUUAAGAACCUUGAAGUGGAUUGUUAACCCUCACACUUAGUGAGAAGUGGAGUGCUAGUAUGUGUGUAGAUUUCCAUUAAGUGUAUACAUGAUUAAGUAUAUGAUUACAGCUAAUGAUCUUCAUAAGUAUGAAUCUGCUAGUAGGAUUAUUGAGGUUGAUACACCUGAUAUCUCCUAUGCUUUUUUGAACUGCAUGGCUUACUUAUUCUGAGUUCUUAUAUUAACAUGUUGGUGUCUUCUCAUUGCUUUCUAGCACCUAUAACUGAUUCUAUUGAGUACUCUCAAGCCUUAUAAAAGUACAUGACAAUGUAUCAUAUGCUUGUGUGCAAACCAUGAUAUGUUCUGAACAGUUAUUUGCAAGAAAUAUACCUCUCCUUGUGUAUGGUCACCACUGUGGUAUUGGGGUUUACAUUGAGCACCUCAUUAGCACCUAAGCCUGCAGGGAAGAGUAAGCGUGAGUAGUUAGGAGGUAUUUGGGAGUAGAAUUUAGUUCUUGGUUGAGAUACUCUCCCUGACACAAGCACUGCUCGGGGUCUUUGAGACUCUUGUGAACUUUGAAGUGCUAGGGAUAAAAAGGGUAUCUUUGCUAUGAACAUAAUUUUACCCUAAGCCUUUAAUCUAUUGACAUUUGCUAAUAUCUCUAGGUUUAGUGUUAAAUGGGAACAAAGGUUUUCACUGUAAAUUAUUUUACUGUAUGUGACUUCACAAUAAAUUUUCAUUCUUAAUUACUGUUGAUUGUUAUAAGUUUAUCAUAGUCCUAUAUUGGUGUUACUUAUUGUAACGACCCGGCUGGUCGUUUUGAGAGUUGUAGUCUCGUUCCCCUAUUUACUUCUCCAUUUGUGCUUUAUAGCUAUUAUAUAACUUAUCGGGUUAGUUGGUUUAGGUCCGGAGAGAAUUCAGGGUGAAUUGAGACAUCUAGUCUCUUAAUUGAAAGCUUAAGUUGGAAAAGUCGAUCGGAUAUCGACUUAUGUGUAAACGACCUCGGAUUUGAAUUUUGAUAGUUUCGUUAGCUCCGUUGGGUGAUUUUGGACUUAGGAGCAUGUCUGGAUUGUGAUUUGGAGGUCGGGAGUAGAAUUAGGCUUGAAAUGGCGAAAGUUGGAAUUUUGAAAAGUUUGACCGUAGUGAACUUUUUGAUAUCAGGGUUGGAUUUUGAUUCUGGAAGCUGCAGUAGAUUCAUGGGGUCAUUUGUGACUUGUGUACAAAAUUUGAGGCCAAUCGAUUUCAUAGGUUUCGGCGUCGUUUGUAGAAUUUGGAAAUUUCGAAGUUCAUUAGGCUUGAAUUCGUGUUUUUGAUGUUGUUUGAGGUGGUUUGAGGAUUCGACUAAGUUCGUAUUGGGUUAUAAGACUUGUUGGUAUGUUUGGUUGAGGUCCCGGGGGCCUCGGGUUAAUUUCGAGAGGUUAACGGAUCAAGGUUCGAAGUUGAAAAAUUGCUGAAGGUUUUGCAACUACUGGUGCAAUCGCAUCUGCGGAUUGGAAACCGCAGAUGCGAGCUCGUAGAUGCGAUAAAGGGACCGCAGAAGUGACCAGGAAGGCUUUGGGCAGGGGCCACAUGUGCGGACGUUUGGGCACAGAAGCGCUUGCACAGAAGCGGGCGGACGGGUGCAGGUGCGAUGGAAUUUUCCGCACCUGCGAUUGUACAGAUGCGGUCCAAGGCUCGCAGAAGCGGUGGCAGCUCGGCUAAGUGACUUCUGCAGAUGCGGAGUCUUCACCGCAGAAGCAGGACCGCGGAUGCGGAAAAAUGGCUUCAGGUGCGAAAGGGGUCUGGGUAGAGUCUAUAAAUGCGAGACUUCGCGAUUUUGGCUUCAUUUCAUCAUUUUGAGCUUGGAUUUUGGAGAUUUAGAGAGGGCGUUUCAAGUGGAAUUCUUAAGGUAAGAUCCUUGUGUCUAUUUUUCUUCAAUAAUUAUGUUUCCCCACUGAAUUUCCACCUAGAUGGUGUAUUUUUGAGGUGUAAUUUGGGGGUUUGAGGCUAGGGAUUUAGAGACUGAAGUUUGGGGAUUUGAAUGAACAUUUGGUGUCGGAUUUUGGUAAAUUUAGUAUGGUUAGACUCGUGAGUGAAUGGGCUUUCGGAUUUUGUAACUUUUGUCAGAUUUUGAGAUGUGGGCCUGGGGGACGGGUUUGGACCGAUUUCGGAUUUUGGCUAUAAUUUCAUAUUUUCUUAUGGAAUUGAUUCCUUUAGCCUAUAUUGAUUGUACUGUACUGCUUGUGGCUAGAUUUGGGACGUUUGGGGACCGAUUUGAGAGGCAAGGGUUUUUUUUGUGUAGAGUUAGCUCGGAUUGAGGUAAGUAACACUUUCAAACUUGGUUCUGAGGGUUCGAAACCCCGAAUUAUAUGUUAUGUGAUUGGUAUUGAGGUGACGCACAUGCUAAGUGACGGGCGUGCGGGCGUACACCGUGAGAAUUGUGACCUGGUUGACUCCAUGGCACUUUAUAGUGGUUCUAUCUUGUGAUAUCCGUGUUUUCAUCAUGUGAUAAGGUAAGUGAGUUGUCGAUCAUGCAAGAUAUCAUGGUUAGGCUUUAUGUCGGUACUGUUGGGACCCAUAGUGGUCGUUUCUUGAUGUUGUCUUACUGAUUUCAUUGAUAUUUCAUACUCAGUCAUAUUCAUUCAUUUCAUAUCAUAUCUCAGUCUCUGAUGUUAAUUAUUGAUACAUCGUAUCAUUGUUUUCGGGCUAGUAUCAUGACAUUGUGAGCCCGUGAGAGAGAGAUUGAUGACUGAGUGAGGCCGAGGGCCUGAUUAUGAGCGACAUUUAUGGGAUCGGUCAGCACGCUGCAGUGGUUAUACUGAUUUAUGAUAGCGCUUGGGCUGAAGGAGCCCCUCCAGAGUCUGCACACAACCCUAGUGAGCGUGGUUGAUAUUAUUGAGGGAUGGAUCUUCCCUGGACAUGGAUCUUGUCCGAAGCAUUUUAUACCUGGAGAUGGAUCUUCUCCACGGGCUGGAUUUUCCCUACUCGAUAUUGGGUGACUAAUGGUCAGUGAUGUAUAUAUUUUGGGAUGGAUAUUCCCUGGGCCGUUUGGGCCUUAUACAAUACCGAGUGAUUGAGUAUUUGAGAGUGUGAGCACAUGAGACUGUCAGCAUUGUGCAUCAUAUACAGCAUGUGCAUUGGCAUGGUAGAAGUAGAAGAGUUAUAUUUUUCAUAUCAUUCAGAUUGAUCCAUUUUACUGUUUUAAGAUAUCUAUCAAACUUGAAAGCAUGUCUACAUUUUUGCACUGUUAUUUUCUGUAUUGAGUUGUGCCGGUUGAGUUCGUCACUACUUUCAGCCCACAGUUUGGGUUUGUUACUUACUGAGUUGGUUGUACUCACGCUACACCAUGCACCUCGUGUUUAGAUCCAGGUACUUCCGGUUAUGGCGGCUGCUGAUUGAGGAGACAAGAUCUCGGAGACUAUCGAGGUAGCUGCAUGUCGUUCGCAGGCCUCGAUUCUCCCUCAUUAUCUUUAUCUGUACUUCAGUUUUUACUCCUUAGACAUUGUGGUAGACUGUAUUCUGAUAUAGAUGCUCAUGUACUCGGUGACACCCCAAUUUUUGGGAGGGAUUCAUAUUGCGUUGUGGUUUUAAUUCGGUUUUUAAAUGGUUUCUUAAAUAUUAACUGCUUCCAUUUUAUUUUCAAAGUUUUUUUACUUUGUGACCUGGUUGAGUAGUUGGCUUGCCUAGUUCCACGAUAGGCUCCAUCACGACGAUUGGUUUUAGGGCCGUGACACUUAUGUUUAAAUAGUAUAUUAGGCCAUAUAUCUAAUGACUUUCUCUUUCUUUUGUACAUGUGUCUCCAUUAGGCCUUGUCACGACCCCAAUUUCCCUCUAUAAGAUGUCGUGAUGGCACCUAGUCUCUACGACUAGGUAAUCCUAAUAUUUGAUAACAAUUGAACAGAUGAAAUUAAUAAAAUACUUAAAACCAGUCUGUUAAAUUCAUAUAACUUCUAAAAAACAGAAUCUCAACCAUACAAUCCCCAAGAACUGUGGAACAGAAUCAUAAGCUUUAUACAAUAAAACUAAAAUAUCUAAUACAUCACUGUUUGAAGAAAUACAAUAGGAAGUAAAAUAGGGAAGGUGACUCUGAGGUCUGCAGACGCCGGGCAAGCAUACUUUGAAGUCUAUGUAGGGCAGCUAUAAAUGAUCUCUAAUGACCAGUAUGAGCAGACGUACUUGGAUCUGCACAAAAAUAUGCAAAAGCACAGUAUGAGUACACUACAACGGUACUCAGUAUGUAUCACGCCUAACCUUAGUAGAGUAGUGACGAGGCCAAUUCAAGACACCUACUAUGAUAUAGUUAAACAGUAUGAAAAUGUAAUAAGGAUAAAUAAUGGAAAACAAAGAAAUAACUGAUAUGAACUAACAUAAUAGCAUGAACUAAUACCGAAAAUUAAGCAUGGAACAACAUAAAAGAAGCAACUAAGGAGAACUACAAUGAUCAUAUACAGACAACAACUGCUAGAACAAGUAAGAAUGAAACAAUAAGAAAUGUUCCCACCAAAACUCUUUGCAACAUGAAAUAAAUAGCAAGAAUCACAACGAGGUACCGCCUCGUGUAUAAUGAAAUCACAACCGAGGUACCAUCUCAUUUAAUCAAGAAUCAUAACUGAAGUAUCGCCUCAUAUUCACAUUUCUCAAUUUAAAUCACAAUUUGUCCUUAUAUCGCCGUGUGAGCCUUAUAUUUGAAAUAGGUUUUGAAAAUAGUUUUCCCGAAAUAGCUACACGCACUUUAACCCACCCUAUGACGCUGUAUGGCUUCAUGUAGUUUCCCAACAAGAAACACGCACAUAGGUCCCACUUUAUUCUGCCGCAUGCACCUUAACCCCAAGCCUUAUAUCGCCGCAUGCAUAUCAAUAUCAUAUCACAAUAACAAUUCGCACCAUAAGUGCCCAUAUAUCACAACUUGCCAACCACAACAACAAUAUCAAUGUUUCCACAACAAUAGCUCAUGGCUCCACCACAACAACAAUAUCAAUGUUUCCACAACAAUAGCCCAUGGCUCCACCACAACGUAUACAAGAAUAUCAACAAUAACAAUGAAUGCCAAAUGCUCAAUAAGAUAGAUGUCUCAACGUGUUAACGACUUUAACAACUUCAACACCAAAUAACUCAACAAUGAGAGAAAUAAUUUAUAACCACAAUAUUAGAUAAGACUAACUCACAAUAAAAGAGAUAACAUUUAACAAUGAGUUUCAAAUAAUGGAAAUCAACAUGGGAAGGGAUAACAUGAACAAUUACUUCAAGUAACGAUAAUCAUUAAGGAAAGAGAUAACACGAUCAAUAACUUCAAAUAAUGAUAAUUAACAAUGAAGAGACAUCAUGUAACAAUAAAAGAGUCAACAAGUUCAACUAAGCAUGAGAGCAAUUUAUCAAGUAGGAUGUAGAACAAGUGCUAAACAAGUCAGUUAAGGCAUGUAAGGAUAGACUAACACAAAUAAGGAUAGAUUGACUAUGAGAAUUUAAAACAUAAUAUGGCAUUUCAAUUAAAGAAUGAAAAUAGUCUAAAUGGCCCUAACCAGUCAAAUACCACGUAAAACCUAUAUACCCACUCGUCACCUUUCGCACACGUCUUUCACAUAGCACAAAGUCAUAACCAAUACCAAAUCCUAAGGGGUAGUUCUCCCACACGAAGUUAGGCAUGACACUUACCUCAACAAGGCCAAUUCAACCCUCGAAAAUCGCUUUUCCCUUAAAACUCGCCUCCACAUGGCUCAAAUCUACCCAAAAUUAACUCAAUAUCAUCACCCGCAAGAGAAAAUAAUUACAAUGAGUAAAGCUUUGAUCUUUACACUUUUCCCAAAAAGUUAAUAAAAGUCAACCCGGGGCCUGCCCGGUCAAAACCCGAGUCCAAUGGUAGAUUUCGACUACCCAUGACCCACGGGUUCAUAUGUGUGAUUAGUUUCAAAAUUCGAGUCCAAAUCGACUCUCAAUACUCAAUUUCUUAUUUUUUAAAAACUUGACAAGGUUUCACAAAUUUUCACUUUUAUUCACAUGAUUUUUAUGUUAAACUCUAGGAUAUAAUGAUGGAAUGUGAUAAGAAUUAGAUUAAAAUUACUUACCCAAGGUUUGUAGGUGAAAAUCCUUCUUCAAAAUCGCCCCCUACCGAGUCUAGGGUUAAAAUAUAUGAGAAUCUGUUCCAAACUCUCGUCUCCCAGCCCUUUAACCAGUUGCAAAUGUCGCAUUGGCGACACAGGGUUAGCAUUUUUGAACCCUCGCAAUUGCGGACUGGAGGGUCAUCGCAAAAGCGAACAAUUGUUCGCAAUUGCGAACCAAACAAAAAUCCUACUAUCUUCACAAAUGCGAAGAGGAAGUCGAAUUUGCGAAACCUGCCUCUCUUCUAUCACCUUUGCAAAUGCGCCCCUAGUGUUUGCAUUUGCGACACCAGAGCACCAAACACCAGAUUUUGCCAUUUUCAGUCCAAACCACUCCGGAACAUGUUCGAAACUCAUCUGAUCCCUCGUGUCUCCAAACCAAACAUCCACACAAGUCUAAAAAAAUCAUAUGAACUCAUUCCCGCGAACAAAUCACUAAAAUAACAUCUAAAACUAUGAAUCGAACACUAAAACGCAUGAAUUUCAAAGUAAAGUUCAAGAAUUUCUAAAGUUACAACUAAACAUCCGAAUCCAACCAAACCAACUUCAAACAACACAAAAUUUUGUAUACAAGUUCUAAAUACCAUAACGGACCUAUCCCAAGUCCCAAAAUCAAAUUCCAAGCUCGAUAGCUAAACGUCACCUACAGUUAAACUUUUCAACUUCAAAUUGUCAAAUUUCUACAAGCCAAUAUAAAUCAACCUACGGAUUUCAAAAAUCAGUUCCAUGCAUACACCCAAGUCCGAAAUCACGAUACGAAGCUAUCAGAGCCAUAAAAACACAAUUCCGGGGUCAUUUUCUCAAAAGUCAAUGUUUGGUCAACAUUUUCUAAUUUAAAUCUUUAAGUCAAGAAUCAAGGGUCUGAAUCAACGCGAAACUCCCCGAAACGAAAAUAACCGACCCCGCAAUUCAUAAAAUCAUAAACACAUGUGAGAAGCAUAAAAAUGGGAAACGAGGCACAAUUAAUCAAUACGACCGACCGGGUGGUUUUAUUCUCCCCAUCUUAUGACAAAAGUUUGUCCUCGAACGUGCAUAAGGACAUAACUAAAGUGGUAAAUAGAUGAGGAUAGAGACAUCACAUGUCGUGCUCGGUCUCCUAGGUCGCCUUCUCGACCGGAUGAUCCCUCCAUUGAACCUUCACUGAAGCAAUGCUCUUUGAUCUCAACUUCCGGACUUGUCGGUCCAAGAUAGCCACAUGCUCCUUAAUAUAAGUCAAAUCCUCAUCCAGUUAGACUGUGGUGAAGUCUAGAAGCUGAUACAGAUCACCGUAAUACUUCCAGAGUAUAGAGACAUGGAGCACCGGAUGAACCGAAAAUAAACUAGGUAGCCAAGCGAGCUUGUACACCACCUCCCAAUUCCUCUCAAGGAUCUCAAAAGGUCUGAUAUACAUAGGGCUCAACUUUCCCUUCUUCCUAAACCUCAUCACACCAUUCAUGGGUGAAACCCAGAGCAAGACUCGCUCUCCAACCAUAAAUGCAACAUCGCUAACCUUCCAAUCCGCAUAACUCUUCUGUCUAGAUUGGGUUGUACGAAGCCGAUCCUGGAUCAUCUUGAACUUCUCCAAGGCAUCUCGAACCAAAUCUGUGCCUAAUAACUCAGCCUCUCCCGGCUCCAACCAACCAACUGGAGAAUGACAUCGUCUCCCAUAUAUGGCCUCAUAAGGAGCCACUUGAAUACUUGAUUGGUAGCUUUUGUUGUAGGUAAACUCCGCAAGUAGCAAGAACUGAUCCCAAGCACCCCCAAAAUCCAUAACAUAGAUGCAAACAAUAUCCUCCAGUAUCUGAAUGGUGCGCUCAAAUUGUCCAUCCGUCUGGGUGUGAAAUUUUGUACUCAACUCAACCCGUAUGCCUAGCUCAUGCUGUAUCUCUCUCCAGAAGUGCGAUGUGAACAACGUACCUCGGUCGGAGAUGAUGGAUAUUAGCAUGCCAUAAGCCAGAAAAUCUCGCGAAUAUAGAUUCGAGCCAGCUGCUAUGAAGAAUAGGUAGUCAUUACUGGAAUGAAAUGAGCCGAAUUGGUCAACCUGUCAACAAUCACCCAUACCGUGUCAAAUUUCUUCCGAGUCCAUGUGAGCCCAACAACGAAAUCCAUGGUGACACGCUCCUAUUUCCACUCUGGAAUCACAAGUCUCUGAAGCAAAUCGCCCGGCCUCUGAUGCUCACACUUUACCUGCUGACAAUUUAGGCACCAAGCUACGUACUCCACUAUGUCUUUCUUCAUCCUCCUCCACUAAUAGUGCUGCCUCAAAUCUUGAUAUAUCUUAGCGACACCUGUAUGAAUGGAGUACCUCAAACUGUGGGACUCCUAAAGAAUCAACUCACGUAAACCAUCCACAUUGGGCACACAUAACCGGUCCUGCAUCCGCAACACAUUGUCAUCCCCAAUAGUAAUCUCCUUGGCAUCGCCGUGGUGAGCUGUAUCCUUAAGGACAAGCAAAUGAGGGUGUUUAUACUGACGCUCUCUGAUAUGGUCAUUUAGUGAAGACCGAGAAACCACCCAGGCAAGAACUCGGCUGGGCUCCAAAAUAUCCAAUCUAACAAACUGGUUGGCUAAGGCCUGAACCUCCAAUGUUAAUGGCCUCUCCGCUAUCAGUAGAUAUGGUAAACUAUCCAAACUCUCUGCCUUUCGACUCAAGGCAUCGGCUACCACAUUGGCCUUCCCGAUAUGAUAUAGAAUGGUGAUAUCAUAGCCCUUAAGCAACUCUAACCACCUCCGCUGCCGCAAGUUAAGAUCUUUCUAUUUGAACAAAUGUUGUACACUCUGGUGGUGCUAAAGACCUCAUAAGGGACACCGUACAAAUAAUGCUGCCAGAUCUUCAAUGCAUGAACAAUAGCUGCCAACUCCAAGUCAUGGAUUGGAUAAUUCUUCUCAUUGUCUUCAGCUGUCGAGACACGUAGGCAAUCACCCUACGGUCUUGUGUCAACACCGUGCCAAGGCCCACACGUGACACAUCAUAAUACACAGUAUAUGACCCCGAGUCCAUAGGCAACACUAACAUUGGGGCUGUAGUCAUAGAAGUCUUGAGCUUUUGAAAGUUUGCCUCACACUCCUCAGUCCUUAUGAAAGGAUCACCUUUCUAGGUAAAUCUGGUCAUAGGUGCAGCAAUAGAUAAGAAGCCCUCAACGAAACGACGAUAAUACCCGGCCAAACAAAGGAAACUCCGAAUCUCCGUAGCUGAAGACGGUCUGGGCCAACUCUUCACUGCUUCAAUCUUCUUCGGAUCUACCUUGAUCCCCUCAAUCGACACCACAUGAUCCAAAAAUACCACUGAAUCAAGCCAGAAUUCACACUUUAAGAAUUUUGCAUACAACUUCUUCUCUCUCAAGGACUGGAGCACGAUCCUCAAGUGCUUCUCGUUAUCUUCCUGACUGUGGGGGUACACCAAGAUGUCAUCAAUAAACACAAUGAUGAAUAAAUCAAGAUAAGGCUAGAAUACACUAUUCAUCAGGUGCAUAAAUGUUGCUGGGGCGUUGGUCACCCCAAAAGACAUCACAAAGAACUCGUAGUGACAAUACCGAGUCCUAAAGGUAGUCUUCGGAAUAUCCGGAUUUCGAAUCUUUAGUUGAUCAUAACCUGACCGCAAGUCAAUCUUUGAGAACACUCUGGCACCUUGUAGCUGAUCAAAUAAGUCAUCAAUGCGUGGAGAUGGAUACCUGUUCUUCACUGUACCUUGUUCAACUUCCGAUAAUCAAUACACAUGCACAUAGAACCAUCAUUCUUCUUUACCAUCAAGACCGAAGCACCCCACGGUGAUACACUAGGCCGAAUGAAAUCCUUAUCAAGCAACUCUUGCAAAUGCUCCUUUAACUCCUUCAACUCCGUAGGGGCCAUACAAUAUGGUGGAAUAGAAAUGGGCUGAGUGCCCGACAAUAAGUCAAUACCAAAAUCAAUAUCCCUAUCGGGUGGCAUGCCCAAAAGAUCUGCUGGAAAUCAUCUGGAAAGUCUCUCACUACCGGAACUGACUUAACGGUAGGAGUAUCAGCACAGACGUCUCUCACAAAGGAUAGAUAAGCAUCACACCCCUUCUCAACCAUCCGUUGAUCCUUUAGAAAUGACACAACCCUGCUAUGAACAUAAUCCAAGGUAACCCUCCACUCUAAUCAUUAUAAACCCGGCAUAACCAGCAUUACAGUCUUGGCGUGACAAUCCAGAAUCGCAUGAUAGGGUGACAACCAGUACAUGCCCAAGAUAACAUCAAAGUCUACCAUACUAAGUAACAAUAGAUCGACUCUAGUCUCAAAACCACUAAUAAUAACUAGACACAACCGAUACACACGGUCUACAAUAAUAGAAUCUCCCAUUGGCAUGGACACAUAAAUAGGAGAGCUCAAGGAACCACGAGAUAUACCCAAAUAUGGAGCAAAGUAUGAUGACACAUACGAAUAAGUGGAUCCCAGAUCAAAUAAGACUGAUGCAUCUCUAUGGCAAACCAAAAUCGUACUUGUAAUGACUGUGUCGAAUGCAACUGCCUCCGUCCUACCUGGAACAACAUAGAAUCUAGUCGGACCUCCCCCUCUAGGGCGACCUCUACCCGCCUGUCCUCCAUCCCUAAUUGGUUGUGCGGGCGGGGUGGCAACUAGGGCAGAAACCUUGGCCUGAGAAGUCUGUGGACCUGACUGAAUACGUGGAGCCUUAGUGGUCUGCGAAGGUGCACCCCUCCUGAGUCUAGGGCAGUCGCUAACCAUGUGGCGGAUAUCACCACACUCAAAGCAAGAUCUUUGUGGGUGUGUCUGCUGGGACUCGCUUGGGCCUGGUCGGCUGAACUGAUCGGUGAAGGCACCCCGUGAAAGAGGUGCACUAGAAAAUGGCUGAGCAAAAUGUUCAACCUGAGACCUCGAAACAACCGGGGCACCACUAGAAGCAGGAAGUGCUGAAUGAACUGGACAGCUCAUAUAGCCUCUACCAUGACGGGCUGAGGCUGCAGCGCGACCACCACUAAAUCCUCCUAUAUCGGGGGCCUCUUGGCCUCCCUAUCCUCUCUCUCACGGCCCCUCGUACCUCCAACCUCAGUGUAAUCUCAACUACCUGCUGAUAUGGAGUAUAUGUCUCCAACUCUCUAGCCAUAUUGAAUCUAAUACCAUAGUUGAGCCUAUCAUGAAUCAUCGCAGCAAUGGGCAGAGCUCGUGUCUACCUUUUAUCUAAUAAAUGCAUCUCUUCCAGAAGUCGGGGUUUGUUGCACGUAUUAGCUCUAUAAUUACUACGGCUAUCCGAGUAGUAGAUACCAUCAAACAAACUAUAACUGAUUUAAUUAGCCAUUCCAAGUUUCACAGUCUUAAUUUGUUCAUACUUACACAUGCAUGGCUUAAUCUUUGAGACAAGCAUAUGACUACUGGCAGGAUCAAUCAGGUAACAUUCCUCAUUGACGUCGGCGUCGUGUGAGCAUGGCCGACCCAAAGGGCAUGGCCAAGUCUAAGACGAGCAUGACCGUCAUUCGUAAGAAGCAUUCUUUGGGCAGAUAGGAGCCAAUGAAGACACCAUGCCCAUUGCGUUUACCGAAUUCAAGAGUCCGAGCAUACUAGUCAUGAGGUAGCUGCAUGGCGUUCGCAGGCCAUGACUCUCCCUCAUUAUCUUUAUCUGUACUUCAGUUUUUACUCCUUAGACAUUGUAGUAGACUGUAUUCUGACAUAGAUGCUCAUGUACUCGGUGACACCCCAAUAUUUGGGAGGGAUUCGUUUGCGUUGUGGUUUUAUUUCGGUUCUUAAAUGGUUUCUUAAAUAUUAACUGCUUCCGUUUUAUUUUCAAAGUUUUUUUACUUUGUAACCUGGUUGAGUAGUUGGCUUGCCUAGUUCCACGAUAGGCGCCAUCACGACGAUUAGUUUUGGGGUCGUGACGCUUAUGUUUAAAUAGUAUAUUAGGCCAUAUAUCUAAUGACUUUCUCUUUCUUUUGUACAUGUGUCUGUAUUAGGCCUUGUCACGACCCCAAUUUCCCUCUGUAAUAUGUCGUGAUGGCACCUAGUCUCUACGACUAGGUAAUCCUAAUAUUUGAUAACAAUUGAACAGAUGAAAUUAAUAAAAUACUUAAAACCAGUCUGUUAAAUUCACAUAACUUCUAAAAAACGGAAUCUCAACCAUACAAUCCCCAAGAACUGUGGAACAGAGUCAUAAGCUUUCUAGAAUAAAACUAAGAUAUCAAAUACAUCACUGUUUGAAGAAAUACAAUAGGAAGUAAAAUAGGGAAGGUGACUCUGAGGUCUGCAGACGCCGGGCAAGCAUACCUUGAAGUCUAUGUAGGGCAACUAUAAAUGAUCUCUAAUGACCGACAUGAGCAGACGUACUUGGAUCUGCACAAAAAUGUGCAGAAGCAUAGUAUGAGUACACUACAACGGUACCUAGUAUGUAUCACGCCUAACCUUAGUAGAGUAGUGACGAGGCCAAUUCAAGACACCUACUAUAAAAUAGUUAAACAGUAUGAAAAUGUAAUAAGGAUAAAUAAUGGAAAACAGAUAAAUAACUGAUAUGAACUAACAUAAUAGCAUGAACUAAUACCGAAAAAUAAUCAUGGAACAACAUAAAAGAAGCAACUAAGGAGAACUACAAUGAUCAUAUACAGACAACAACUGCUAGAACAAGUAAGAAUGAAACAACAAGAAAUGUUCCCACCAAAACUCUUUGCAACAUGAAAUAAAUAGCAAGAAUCACAACGAGGUACCGCCUCGUGUAUAAUGAAAUCACAACCGAGGUACCAUCUCAUUUAAUCAAGAAUCACAACUGAAGUAUCGCCUCGUAUUCACAUUUCUCAAUUUAAAUCACAAUCUUUCCUUAUACCGCCGCGUGAGCCUUAUAUUUGAAAUAGGUUUUGAAAAUAGUUUUCCCGAAAUAGCUACACGCACUUUAGCCCACCCUAUGACGCUGCAUGGCUUCACGUAGUUUCCCAACAAGAAACACGCACAUAGGUGCCACCUUAUUCCGCCGCAUGCACCUUAACCCCAAGCCUUAUAUCGCCGCAUGCAUGUCAAUAUCAUAUCACAAUAACAAUUCGCACCACAAGUGCCCAUAUAUCACAACUUGCCAACCACAACAAUAAUAUCAAUGUUUCCACAACAAUAGCCCAUGGCUCCACCACAAUAACAAUAUCAAUGUUUCCCCAACAAUAGCCCAUGGCUCCACCACAACGUAUACAAGAAUAUCAACAACAAUAAUGAAUGUCAAAUGCUCAAUAAGAUAGAUGUCUCAACGUGUUAACGACUUUAACAACUUCAACAUCAAAUAACUCAACAAUGAGAGAAAUAAUUUAUAACCACAAUAUUAGAUAAGACUAACUCACAAUAAAAGAGAUAACAUUUAACAAUGAGUUUCAAAUAAUGGAAAUCAACAUGGGAAGGGAUAACAUGAACAAUUACUUCAAGUAACGAUAAUCAUUAAGGAAAGAGAUAACACGAUCAAUAACUUUAAAUAAUGAUAAUUAACAAUGAAGAGACAUCAUGUAUCAAUAAAAGAGUCAACAAGUUCAACUAAGCAAGAGAGCAAUUUAUCAAGUAGGAUGUAGAACAAGUGCUAAACAAGUCAGUUAAGGCAUGUAAGGAUAGACUAACAAAAAUAAGGACAGAUUGACUAUGAGAAUUUAAAACAUGAUAUGGCCUUUCAAUUAAAGAAUGAAAAUAGUCUAAAUGGCCCUAACUAGUCAAAUACCACGUAAACUUGUAUACCCACUCGUCACCUUUCGUACACUGCUUUCACAUAGCACAAAGGCACAACCAAUACCAAAUCCUAAGGGGUAGUUCUUCCACACGAAGUUAGGCAUGACACUUACCUCAAUAAGGCCAAUUCAACCCUCGAAAAUCGCUUUUCCCUUAAAACUCGCCUCCACAUGGCUCAAAUCUACCCAAAAUUAACUCAAUAUCAUCACCCAAUGCAAGAGAAAAUAAUUACAAUGAGUAAAGCUUUGAUAUUUACACUUUUCCCAAAAAGUUAAUAAAAGUCAACCCAGGGCCCGCCCGGUCAAAACCCGGGUCCAAUGGUAGAUUUCGACUACCCAUGACCCACGGGUUCAUAUGUGUGAUUAGUUUCAAAAUCCGAGUCCAAAUCGACUCUCAAUACUCAAUUUCUUAUUUUUCAAAAACUUGACAAGGUUUCACAAAUUUUCACUUUGAUUCACAUGAUUUUUAUGUUAAACUCUAGGAUAUAAUGAUGGAAUAUGAUAAGAAGUUGAUUAAAAUCACUUACCCAAGGUUUGUAGGUGAAAAUCCUUCUUCAAAAUCGCCCCCUACCGAGUCUAGGGUUAAAAAUGUGAGAAUCUGUUCAAAACUCUCAUCUCCCAGCCCUUUAACCAGUUGCAAAUGUCGCAUUGGCGACACAGGGUUAGCAUUUUUGAACCCUCGCAAUUGCGGAUUGGAGGGUCAUCGCAAAAGCGAACAAUUGUUUGCAAUUGAGAACCAAACGAAAAUCCUACUAUCUUCACAAAUGGGAAGAGGAAGUCGAAUUUGCGAAACCUGCCUCUCUUCUAUCACCUUCGCAAAUGCGCCCCUAGUGUUCGCAUUUGCGACACCAGAGCACUAGACACCAGAUUUUGCCAUUUUCAGUCUAAACCACUCCGGAACAUGUUCGAAACUCAUCCGAUCCCUCGUGUCUCCAAACAAAACAUCCACACAAGUCUAAAAAAAGCAUACGAACUCAUUUGCGCGAACAAAUCACUAAAAUAACAUCUAAAACUAUGAAUCGAACACUAAAACACAUGAAUUUCAUAGUAAAGUUCAAGAAUUUCUUAAGUUACAACUAAACAUCCGAAUCCUACCAAACCAACUCCAAACGACACAAAAUUUUGCAUAGAAGUUCUAAAUACCAUAACGGACCUAUUCCAAGUCUCAAAAUCAAAUUCCAAGCUCGAUAGCUAAACGUCAACCUACAGUUAAACUUUUCAACUUUAAAUUAUCAAAUUUCGACAAACCAAUAUAAAUCAACCUACGGAUUUCAAAAAUCAAUUCCAUGCAUACACCCAAGUCUGAAAUCAUGAUACGAAGCUAUCGGAGCCAUAAAAACACAAUUCCGGGGUCAUUUUCACAAAAGUCAAUGUUUGGUCAACAUUUUCUAAUUUAAAACUUUAAGUCAAGAAUCAAGGGUCUGAAUCAACGCGAAACUCCCCGAAACGAAAAUAAACGACCCCGCAAUUCAUAAAAUCAUAAACACAUGUGUGAAGCAUAAAAAUGGGAAACGAGGCGCAAUUAAUCAAUACGACCAACCGGGUGGUUUUAUUCUCCCCAUCAUAAGAAAAAAGUCUGUCCUCGAAUGUGCAUAAGGACAUACCUGAAGUGGUAAAUAGAUGAAGAUAGCGACUUCGCAUGUCGUGCUCGGUCUCCUAGGUCGCCUCCUCAACCGGAUGAUCCCUCCAUUGAACUUUCACUGAAGCAAUGCUCUUUGAUCUCAACUUCCGGACUUGUCGGUCCAAGAUAGCCACAUGCUCCUUAAUAUAAGUCAAAUCCUCAUUCAAUUAGACUAUGGUGAAGUCUAGAACAUGAGACGGAUCACCGUAAUACUUCCAGAGUAUAAAGACAUGGAGCACCGGAUGAACUGUAAAUAAACUAGGUAGCCAAGCGAGCUUGUACACCACCUCCCAAUUCCUCUCAAGGAUCUCAAAAGGUUUGAUAUACCUAGGGCUCAACUUGCCCUUCUUCCUAAACCUCAUCACACCCUUCAUGGGUGAAACCCAGAGCAAGACUCGCUCUCUAACCAUAAAUGCAACAUUGCUAACCUUCCGAUCCGCAAAACUCUUCUGUCUAGAUUGGAUUGUACGAAGCCGAUCCUGGAUCAUCUUGAACUUCUCCAUGGCAUCUCGAACCAAAUUUGUGCCUAAUAACUCAGCCUCUUCCGGCUCCAACCAACCAACUGGAGAAUGACAUCGUCUCCCAUAUAUGGCCUCAUAAGGAGCCAUUUGAAUACUCGAUUGGUAGUUUUUGUUGUAGGCAAACUCCACAAGUGGAAAGAACUGAUCCCAAGCACCCCCAAAAUCCAUAACACAGAUGUGAACUAUGUCCUCCAGUAUCUGAAUGGUGCCAUCAAACUUUCCAUCCAUCUGGGGCUGAAAUUUUGUACUCAACUCAACCCGUGUGCCUAGCUCGCACUGUAUCGCUCUCCAGAAGUACGAUAUGAACUACGUACCUCGGUCGGAGAUGAUGGAUACUGGCACGCCAUGAAGCCGGAAAAUCUCGCGAAUAUAGAUUCAAGUCAGCUGCUAUGAAGAAUAGGUAGUCAUUACCGGAAUAAAAAGAGCCGAAUUGGUCAACCUGUCAACAAUCACCCAUACUGCGUCAAAUUUCUUCCGAGUCCAUGUGAUCCCAACAACGAAAUCCAUGGUGACACGCUCCCAUUUCCACUCGGGAAUCACAAGUCUCUGAAGUAAAUCGCCCGGCCUCUGAUGCUCACACUUUACCUACUGACAAUUUAGGCACCAAGCUACGUACUCCACUAUGUCUUUCUUCAUCCUCCUCCACUAAUAGUGUUGCCUCAAAUCUUGAUACAUCUUAGCGACACCUGUAUGAAUGAAGUACCUCGAACUGUGGAACUCCUGAAGAAUCAACUCACGUAAACCAUCCACAUUGGGCACACAUAGCUGGUCCUGCAUCUGCAGCACACUGUCAUCCCCAAUAGUAACCUUCUUGGCAUCGCCGUGCUGAACUAUGUCCUUAAGGACAAGCAAAUGAGGGUCUUCAUACUGAUGCUCUCUGAUACAGUCAUUUAGUGAAGACCGAGAAACCACCUAGGCAAGAACUGGGCUGGGCUCCGAAACAUCCAAUCUAACAAACUGGUUGGCUAGGCCUGACGCUCUCUUGGCAUCGCCGUGCUUGAGGCCCGUUGAUGAAAAAAACUCUAGAGGAGAUAGUCACAAUUCUUGAUGAGUUGUCUGAAGAUGCAAAUCAGUGGCCCUCUAAGAGUGCUGAAAGAAGAAGAUCAAUUGGUGUUUACCAAGUUGAUGCUAACACAUCUGUGCAGGUACAUCUUGAUGCUAUGGCUAAGAAAAUACGAAAGCUGACCAUAGCCUUGAUAAAAAUGAGCCUCAUGAAGUUUGUGAUAUAGGUAGAAGAUGACACCCUACUCAUGAGUGUCAAGCCUCAACUGAGGAAGUGAAUGCUAUGGGAAACUACAAUAUUAAUGCAAUGGGUCAGAGGCACCCCAGUUUGAGUUCACCUGGGGGUACCGCGAAUGCUUGGCAACAAAAUAACUCUAGACCUCAGGGACAAGGAGCUCAAGCAUAACAAAAUCAGCACAGGCAGCAAUAUCAGCCUCAACAGCCCAUUCAGCCUGGUCUAGAUGAUCUAAUGAAGACUUUCAUUAUCAAGACAUAUGAGAGACUGGAUGCCCAUGGAGCAAUUAUCAAAGAACUGGGCGCUGGUUUUUGAAACCUGGAGAGACAAGUUGGGAAACUUGCAAUAAUAUUAUCUAAGAGGAUUCCAGAAACCCUCCCCGCUGAUACUGAGAGAAAUCCCAAAGAAACGGUGAAUGAUGUAACUCUGAGAAGUGGGCAAGUGUUGAGCUGAAGAAUGAUGUUGAUAAAAAGAAGAAGGGACAGAUGAAAGCUGAGAAAAAGAAGAAGGGAGAAACUUCGAGAAGGGAGGAACAUGAUGAGAACGAGCAUAUGUCUGCGAUACCUUUCCCUCAAAAGCUAUAUAGAGAAAAGUUGGACAAGCAGUUUGGAAAAUUUCUGGAUGUGUUGAAAUAGGUUCAUGUAAACUUACCAUUCAUAUAAAUGCUCUUACAAAUGCCUGCUCAUGCCUUAUUCUUAAAGGAUAUCCUGACAAAAAAAAAAGAAAAA
rnacentral:lncRNA from 1 species